GCUUUUCCCAAGCUGAGAAAAGUGGGUUUUGAAGGCAUGCUGGGAUGGACGGAGUGGGAGUGGGAGCAUCACGUCCCAGCGAUGCCUGCAUUAGAGGAGCUUACAAUCAGAAACGGCAAACUGCAACGCCUUCCUGCAGGGCUUGCACAACAUGCAUGCCGGUUGAGAGAGUUGCGCCUGACACAUGUCCAUCACUUGGUCUCUGUGGAUAACUUCCCUUCACUAGUCAAGCUUUGGUCAUAUGACAACCCAAGGCUGGAGAGGAUCAGCAACAACCCAAGCUUGCAAUGGAUUGACAUUAGCAAUUGCCGAGCACUAAAGGAAUUGGAUCGUUUGCCAUCCUUCCGAAGCCUCGAGUGGUGGGAUUUCAGUGCUGAAGCACUCCCAGAAUACUUGCGAGAGGCAAAGCUAAAGAAAUUGCGUGUAGAUUGCAGCCGAAGAUUGCUCAAACUGAUAGCACUACAAGAUGAAUCCUCCGAAUGGGGAAAGAUCCAGCAUGUCCAACAAGUAAAGGCGUAUGGACACAAGAAAAAAGGAGAAGAUGAGGAUGCCGAGUGGUACAUCUACUAUACGAAGGAGCCGUAUUCAUUCGACGCAUACCUGGGCAAGUCCACGGGUGAGUUCAUCUUCGACCUACUCGGUGGUUUUAUAACUGUAUGUGUGUACACUCAUGUAAAAAUGGAUUUCUAACUGUAUAUUCUCCUGCGCACAGGAUGAAGAUGAAGCAGAAGUAGACGAGGUGAACGAAGAGCAGAGUCCAGGAAUAGAACAUAGUAAGAAUGCAAGGAACAGAGGAAGCUCUCAGGCUGUUACGACAGGAGGAGCAUUCGAAUCCAUCCACCAAAUACUAGGUAUGAAUUGCCCAAAUACUAAUGGUCUUGUAGUUGUACACGCCAAAUUGGCUGUGACUAUUCUAACUGGAAAGCAUUGUCGUGUUAACGCAGGAGAAGAACACAUCGCAAUUGGCAUACUGUCCCUCAAAUUCGUAAGUUGUAUAUGUUUGUGUGCGAAAAAUAUAAUACAUCAGUAAGGCGCGAGCGUCUCUCUAACCAGUUGUUGUGACGCUCAGGAAGGGAGCGCCAGCACGGGCGGCCUUGGACUCGUUGGAGCGAAUACGCGUCGGGGACGAGCGAUGGGCUGAGAGCUGAAGCACUGAACGUGCGCGCGAAGGGCAGCAGGGAAGGGAUUUGCACAUUUAGCUCCCAGGAUUUGCACUUCUUGUUGGCGUAUUUGUAGGCAGGUCUGCACUCCAUCUCUUCUUUUUGGUUGGUCUGUGCUAGCUCGUCAGACUUUCUACAGUGUUUUUGAAUGUUCGAUAACAAAUGAGUGUAGGAAUUUGCAGACGUGCUCUAUGAUGCCGAGAUAACAAUUGCAUCCCCCCCUCAUGGAUCCUCUGGAAAGCUGAAGCUACUCUGCAAGACUGCAACGAUUGCAGCAACACGGACGUGCCUACUAAAAACAUGGUGCAAUAAAACUGCGAAAUGCUAAACAAGGUCAAGCCGGCAGCCAGGUGAGCAACAUUCCAGGCAGCAGGCAUAUUCUGAGCCGUUCAGCGUGGACCGGAGCCAACAACGGGGAUAAGAAGUCCCAACUAGUAGUAGUUGGCAGCCAAUGCGGUGGCCAAAAUUUGACCAAGCCAAGGCUAGUAAACAGCAAAUUUUGUAGCAAACCAAAAUUAAAAUGCGACGUAACCAAAGCGCUGGCGUAACCAUGUCGACAUUAGACCUGAUUUGUUAAUACGUGCUGAGAUGGCGAGGCAUAUCUUGUAACCAGCGACGAAGAGAAGAGUUCAAGCUGCAUUGGAUACAUGUGCUCCUGCCUCCUGGGGGUUAGUUGAGGCGUCUCUCUUUUGCACCUCAUCAAUAGAGACAAAUAAUUUGAGUUGCAUAUUUUUUGACUACUGACUGGACACCCAAGCGUACUCUUCUGGUCCUCCUAUGCGUUGAACUUCUUCGCCUCGCCAUCUCAUCUGCCCAUCCGUGAUUUUCCAUCGCCUUCCUUCUGUAUAAAGCGUCUCCUAAAUCACCGCAGAGUGUACACCCACACAUAUCUGAAACCUAGUCAUCUUCCUUUUGCUCUCUGCUUUGCUAACCUGUUCCCCGACCAUGGCAGAGCUGCUGGACGAGUUCGCGUCCAAGCUUGUGGGCAUCCUGGCAGGCAUGGUGAAGGAGGAGGUGGAGAUGCUCCUCGGCGUGCCGGGUGAGGUCACCAAGCUCGAGACCACGCUCCGUGACCUGAGCGACAUCUUGGGUGAUGCGGAGAGGAAGCGCAUCCGUGACAAGGCUACGGAGGGUUGGGUGAGGGAGCUCAAGGACGUCAUGUACGACGCCGAUGACGUCCUUGACCUCUGCCAGCUCAUGGAGGGCGGAGAAGAUCCUCCCGCACCAACAUCUGCUCCGAAAACCACCUCAAGGUGCUGGGACAUCCCCAAGAUGUUCUUUUGCUUCCGCAACCCUGUUGCGGCACAUGAGAUUGGAACGAAGAUCCAAGCGAUCAGCCAGCGACUGGAAGACCUGGCAAAGAGGAGCUCCCGUUUCGGAUUCAUCACCCAAGCCAUCCAUUCCUCAGCUGAUUCAAUCAACAAAGCUUCCAAUUCUUUGUCCGACGAGACUGGAUCGGUUUUUAUCCGGUCUGAUGUUGUCGGCGAGAAUGUUGAGGAUGACACGAAAAAAAUUGUUGAUCUACUCAUCAAGAAGGUGGAUGCUCCUGUAGGAUCAAGGGCCAAUAAUGAUGUGGUUGUUGCUGUUGCUAUCACAGGGACAGGUGGGAUAGGCAAAACCACUCUUGCUAAGAUGGUCUUCGGUGAUAGUAGGGUGGAGGAAAACUUCGAGGAAAGGAUCUGGUUGAGCGUUAACCGUGAGUUCAAUGAGAUCAAUGUCCUACAAAGUCUUAUAGCUUCUUUUGGCGCCAAACAUGAAGGCUGUGCGGGAAACCAGGACCUACUUCAGCGUGCCCUACGAUCCGGCAAAAGAAGUUUUUGUUGGUGAUGGAUGAUGUGUGGAGCGAAAAUAUGUGGUAUAAGCUGCUUAGAGAGCCGCUCAGUCAUGGUGCUUCUGGCAGUCGAGUCUUGGUGACCACAAGAAAUGAUGGAGUUGCUCGUGGGAUGAAAGCUCAACAUCUCCAUCGAGUUGACAAGCUAACAACGGAAGAUGCUUGGAUUUUGCUAAAGAACCAGGUCAGUAAUAACUUUUAUUUAUUACAGUAAUUAUUUAUGCGGUAAUUUGAAUUUACAGGAACAACUUUUAUCUCUUCUUAAUUGCUUUCUCUCCCUUGGAGUAAUGCACGAUAGCCCAUUGCUCGUUAUUUCUCUUGUCGCUCUCGUCCGAUCUGAUUACGCAAAGGACCAUGUAAUUUCACUACGAGCCUUUUAUCAUACUUUCAUAAGCUCUUGGCUUAGCAAAACAUGUCUCAUGGUUAUAUUUAGUUGAACAUAUUCUAUUGACGUUGAGGGAAGUUUUGUUUAGCGCAAGGAAUCGGGUAUUGUAGUCUAAGAGGCAGAGGGAGUGAAUUAGACAACUUAAAAUCUUAACCUAUGGUUUUCACUACUUUUGCAUCAAACUUAAACUAGAUCAUCCUACCAAGAUGUGCAACUAUGGUUGAUCUAGUGUGAAAUCCUCAUCCUAACAUAAGUUUUGCAACCUAGAAGCAAUCCUAGCAAGAUACUACACUAAGAAAGUAAAGACGAACAAAUUGCAAGUAUGAAAUGUGGAAAUGUAAAGGAGGGGAUGAGGGGAAGCAAACUCUUGACACGAUGAUUUAUCCCGUUGUAUCGGUAGGCACUAAACCACCACUAGUCCACGUUGUUGAAGCACUCACACAAGAGUAUUGCUUUCCGGUGACCAAGUCUCUCCCUCGACACUCCUUGAUUUGCCACAAAGGCUCGGCUACUAAGGCUCACGUCAAAUUCCCAGGUUACCUUGAUGCCAUCUCCACUAAGGAGCUUCUCCACGAAGGAAGAGGGUCUCCACGUUCCCUGCACAUUGUCGUCGACGCCACUCCACACCAAGCCGGAGGGUCGAAGGCUUGCCGGCGAACCACCAAGGCUCCAAGGUUUCAGCACACCUUGUACAGCUAUGGUUCACUCCUAGAACCGAUCACAAGGCAGGCACACCUUGCACUCUCUCUUCUCUAGUCUAUCCUAGCACAAAACAUUCUUCUAAGCUUGCGCUAAGCCUUGAUUAAUCACUUAUGCACUUUCGGUGGCUUGGAUGUGUUCUUGAUAAGUCUUGAUCACCAAUGGACUUCUGCAUACUCCAGCUUCAUCCAGCAACUCCAAAUGGGUGAGUGGAGGGGGUAUAAAUAGUCCAAGAACUCAAAGAGUAGUUGCUCCAACGGCUAGUUAAAGUAUACCAUUGGAUGUUCCAAUGGUAUCAUUUGGGGUAGCAUCGGAACAUCCGGUUCUACCAGCCGUUGCCUCCCCGCGCCCAGAUUCUACUCAAGUUCCUUACCGACGCAACCCAUCGAUUGAUCCGGUGGUCCGUCUAGCACCCAUCGGAUCAUCCGGUGCAGUAGCUUCCUAUGCCAAAACGUCUCUGUUAGUUUCUAAAAUAAAUAUGCUUCGUCCGAUGCCCCCGCGACACAUAGCGUCAGAUCAUCUGGUGCCUCCUUCUUUCUUCUCUUUGCUCCGGUGAUUCAUCUGAUGGGUACAAAACUUAGGCCAUCAGAUCAUCCGAUGGUCCUGCUUUGACUUGGUCUCCACACAGCGUACCAAAAGCUCCGAUGCUUGCACCGACACUUUUCCAGCUGGCCAUCGGAACGUUCGAUGGUCUCAAAAACCUUUUUCACCCUUGUCACCGACUGAUUCGGUGGGCACCUUCUUCUUGUCACCAGAUGAAUUGGUGGCUAUAAUGAUUCCUGUUUUUCUUUGAUUUCUUUGAUUCUUUGCUUAUCUUUGGUUGUGGUUGCUUCUUUAGGACCUAGAAUACCUUCAAGAUAUGCUCUCCAUGCUUUGCUAGUCAUAAUGACCGUGUUGUCAUAUUAAUCACCAAAAUCACAAACAAAUAGCCUAUUCGGGGCCAUAUUUGCUACAUUUAGGCUAUUCCCAAUGGGGAUUUCAUAAGAGUUUCAUUUAAUAAUGUGACACAUCAACAAUUUUGAUGAUAUGGCAUGCUAAUAAUCAUGAAGAGAGAUCCUGAUUAAACUUCGUAUACAUUGUUUCCAAGACUACGAAACCUGAUGAAACUAGCCCUGAUGAAACUAGCAUUGAGGAUUAGAGAGUUUCAUUUCAUCUUAUACCAUCCAAUCACAUACCUCGCAAUUAAAUGUUAUGUCCAGCCUAUGAAAUCGUGAAAUGAAACUCUCCAUUGAGAGAUCUUUUUUCAUGCAUCCACUCAAACAUCUUUCGAUGACAUACCACUACUGAAAACCGUAAUAUGAAAUUCCCCACUGGGAAUAGCCAUGGUUGCUCUAGAGUCUAGACUCUACUGAAGUCACUUCAACUUUUUCCCUACACACAACCCCUGCACAAGUUAUGAUACAACAUAAAAUCCAUUGGGAGCUUUUCGAUUCUAGCACCAUUUCCUCUCUCAAACUUGCUGCAUUUUUUUCCAAUACUAGGUAGUUUUGAAUGAGAGUGAUCAAACCGAUGUCGAUGAAUGUAAGAGUAUCGGGAUGGAAAUUGUUGAAAGAUGUGACUGCUUGCCGUUAGCAGUUAAGAUCCUUGGAGGACUCUUGCGUCGCAAAAGUAGAACAAGAGAUGCCUGGACGGAUGUUAGUAGCCACGGCACUUGGUCGACAACAGGAAUCGCUGAAGAUAUUAAUAAAGCGGUCUAUUCUAACUGGAAAGCAUUGUCGUGUUAAUGCAGGAGAAAGAAACCCAAGAAGGAGAAGAACACAUUGCAAUUGGGUGGUGGCAAUGUGGCAUACUGUCCCUCAAAUUCGUAAGUUGUCUAUGUUUGUGUGCAAAAAAUAUAAUACAGCAGUAAGGCGCGAGCUUCUCUCUAACCAGUUGUUGUGACGCUCAGGAAGGGAGCGCCAGCACGGGCGGCCUUGGACUCGUUGGAGCGAAUACGCGUCGGGGACGAGCGAUGUGCUGAGAGCUGAAGCACUGAACGUGCGCACGCAGGGCAGCAGGGAAGGGAUUUGCACAUUUAGCUCCUAGGAUUUGCACUUUCUUGUUGCCGUAUUUGUAGGCAGGUCUGCACUCCAUCCCUUCUUUUUGGUUGGUCCGUGCUAGCUCGUCAGACUUUCUACAGUGUUUUUGAAUGUUCGAUAACAAAUGAGUGUAGGAAUUUGCAGACGUGCUCUAUGAUGCCGAGAUAACAAUUGCAUCCCCCCCUCAUGGAUCCUCUGGAAAGCUGAAGCUACUCUGCAAGACUGCAACGAUUCAUUUGCACUGCCAAACAAACGAGCAUGACAAAUCGUAGGUCUCCCCUGCUAGCAUGGUAUAGGAGCUGAUGGACCACCUCUGAAGCUACUAUAUACUAUAUUCAUGUCCAUUAUGGUGUGGACAUGGACUGAUGGACCACCUCUGAAGAUAUAUUUCACGUGGAGUUUAUUAAUGAAAGUGUCUUUUUUUUUUACUACGUCGAUCUCCUAGAACGUAUUUAAAUUUAUAAUAAAUGUAAUCUGAUAUAUAUGUUUCAGACUUGUUUGGUCCAUCAGUCCAUGUCCACACCAUAAUUAAGCUAGGCGUGUCACACUUGUUUAGGUGUGAGUUUAGUUUACGCCACAACUAGAACGUGCUAAAACUUUCUAAACCCUAUGCACCGUGUUUCAUAGAACCAAAGUAGGAGUACUCCGUAUAUGACUAGUUACGAAACAGGACCUUCCUACUUUGGUUGCUAUAAUUUAUAAUUAGAAGACUAUCCCUUAAUUCUAAUAACUUGCCAUCCGAAUCAUCUCGAUCAGCGUGAUGAUUAUGAUCACGAGUUUACUCCCUCCAUCCAUAUGUGUUUGAUCGGCGUAUUUGUCACACGAAAAGAUCCAAGAUUUUUCUUGCGGUCGCACGCUGACUGAGAUCAUGCGUUUGGGUGAAAAUCGUUCAAAGACUGAGGACGAUGGGCAAUGAAGCGUUGAAUGAUUUGCGUGGGAGUGUUUCUUCUUCCUUAGUCUCCGUGAAGCUAACAAAUACGCUGCUCGAAUAGGAUGGAGGGAGCAUCUGCUUGCAUUUUCGGCGGAUCAUCAUCGGCGGCUUGUUUCGGCCCUUGGGUCCUGUGCUGAUUCGGUGGACCCCACAUGCAUAGAAUCCAAGCAAAAUCUCCUCCAGAUUUCUAGCUUAUGCAAAUAUCUUCCCCGUUAUUAGCCAUUUUCAGUCAGUUAUUAUAUAUAUACGUAUAGAAAAAGAUCUACGUGGAUUAACUUGUACGGCAACAGGCUAAGAAGGAAUAUCUGUAUUGCAUGGUCAGUCAAUCAUUGGCCUAGCUAAACCGCUGAUCGAAAUGUUAUUUACUUUAUUUAUGCCGAUGAAAUUUUUUUAAUGUUAGGGUCUUUUACUAAGGAAAAAAAAUCUGGUUGAGGAAUAGAUUUUUUUUAAUGCUAGGGUCUUUCUCUUCAUCAGGUCGCUACUUCCCGGACAGGGCUAUCGAUUUGGUCGACGAGGCGUGCGCGGCCGUGAGGCUGCAAAAGAACGGCGAAAGAGGCAACAAGGAAGCGACAGCAGGAUGCCCAUGGACGACGACAAUGUCGUCGCACCGGACCUCAUAGCGCAGGUGUGGCGGAACCAUCCAACUUAAACUGGUUUAAAUGCGCCUAAUUGCUGCCGACGCAGCAACUAUCCGAAACGCAUUUAAAACAGUAUAAGUCCGGUCGUCCGUUGAGUGUCCCUAGGACUCCUCGAAAGAUCUACAUCGUGUCUCAUAUCUAUACAUCAGGAUAGUAUCCGCGAUGGGAUAGCAUCAACAAAUAUUACAUUUUUAUAAACAUAUUAAAGGUACGAUAUAUUACAACCAUAGAUUGAAGAAAACUUAAUAGUGCAAGUUAAUCCUUUGCUAAGAGUUAAAUAUAAACCAGUCCGGGGUAAGUAAUUAAACAUCUAAGUUUAUUCUAGAGUAUCAUGAGACUCAUAAGAUACCCUAGAUCUUCGGGGCUUCCUCUUCGGUGGGUCCCUGCUGGGUUUCUGAAAACAACAACAAGGAUCCCCUGAGUACGAAGUACUCAGCAAGUCUGACCCGUCUAACCAAUAUAAUAGCUUUUCUGGAACUGUAUGAAAGUUGUUUAGUGUACUGGCUGACUCACUUUUUGCCGAAAGAGCUUACUAAAAGUGAAACCUUAACUUUGUCUUUUAUUUCAAUUGAGUUAUUACUUAACCAGUUUAGGUGAUGAAAAAGAAAUACCUUUGCAACAGUAGGAAAUUAAGUCAUACAACAAAUUAAUUUGGAAAGACAUUGCAUUCAUGAGAUUACAUUACGAUGCUCAACAGUGAUCAAGUGCAUUCAUAACCGAGAAUUGCGGCGAUCCGGAUCAAUUUACAUCCUGCAGGAGAGUACCCUGAUCACCAGCCAUAUACGACUGUACAGGUCGUACGUAACGACUUUUCGAUUAGCAAAUCCAAUGAUUGGGAAUAAGACUACCCAGACCCAGGGACGCACCCCCACAUGGGACCCCACGUCUGGCCCGAUCACCAUGUGAGUUUCAGGCUACGCCCCUGCCAAUCUCCAGCACGUCAAGCGCGGGUACGAAGUAUUCCUGAUCAGAGGGUUUACUAACCUACUGGGCUUUACUGGUCCCAGACCCAGUAAGUGAUCAGAUGUCUUUCACUUGAUCAAAGGUUAAGACAACGAAUUGGGCCUUAACCAGAUUAGACUAGCAGACAGAACUACAUCCUUAGCUUUUGUCCGCUUCUUAAAUUCCAAGUCAUCUUUCCAUAAUUAACAUGCAUGACUCAAUAUUUACCUUAAGGUUUGGUAAACCAAGUAUUUAAGCAACUAAGCAAUUUUAGACUUGGGUUAUCUACUAAAGGUUUGAACAAGUGGCAAAGAUGUCCUUAAAACAAGGUAUGAUAAUGCACAAGGAUGGGUUUCAAGCAACUCCUAGACUUAGUGCAUACAUAUAGCAAAUAACCGAUAAUGGACACAUGAAAUAUCGACUCCAAAAUAAUGGGUAUAAUGCACCAGGGCUUGCCUGGGAUCAACAAAGGUUAGUUCUUCGGAAAACCUCUUUAGUAAAAGAGGCACUUCACAUUUCGCGAACGCUGUCCAUCUCCAGCUGAAUUCCACGAAUUCCACUUCAGGAGUUGUGACGUCUAUGAUUCAGUAUAUGCAAGAGUUAGAGAUGCAAACUUUUGAAUACAAGACUAUACAACUUUCCUUCAUGAUAAAGUUGCAAGCCAACAGUGACUACACAAUUUAUCAUGAUAAAGUUGCAAGCCGACACACAAAAACCCGAAAAGAUUAACCCACCAUUUUUAUUUUCUUUACUAAUCCUACCUGAGACCUUUUAUUUUAUUUUUAAAAGCAUUAUAAUAAUUUUCUAAUCUCAAAACUUAUUUCCUAUGACUUAAUAAUGAUUUGUGGAUAAUAAAGCAUUUUUCAAGUUUUAUACAUUUAAUAAUGUUUAAGCAUUUAUUUAAAUACCUUAACUAAAAAGGCAUUAAAUAAAUACCUAAAUUUUUAUUAUUUUUCCUAGGAUUUAAGAUUUUUAAUGCAUAAAGGAAAAUAAAACAAUCCUAAUAAAAUUGGUUUCACUAAUUUUGGGCACUUCUACAAUUUCCUGUGAAUUAAAUGGUGAAAACCGGAUUUAAUCUAUUUAGCUAAUAAAAGAAAAACCUAAAGUUUAUUCAAAACCCCGGUUCAAACUUUUCUUACCCAGCAUUCUACUACCCACCAUCACUUCCACAUAGGGCCCGCAAACUGGUCUCUUUACAAGCAAAAAGGCCCACCCGGCCUCCUACUCUCCUCCCCUUCUUCUUACUGAUAAGCGGGGCCCACGGCUAGUACCUCUCCUCGGGCCGAAAAGUGGCCCGCCAGCUCUUAACCUGCGACGCAUGGGCCUCCUUGCGGCAGGCCCUUUUGGGCCGGCUCUCUCCUCUCUCCUCCUUCUUAACCAUCGGCCGGCCCAUCUUUCUUUUUCCUUUUUCUUUCUCCGACGAUCGGCCUGCUAAUCCGGCCCAUGGCCUAUCUUUCAACCGCCGGCCCACCUUUCCCCCCCUUCUUUCUUCUUCACUCCCACCUGGGCCUCUUGGCCCACUUCUUUUCCAAGCCGAUAAACGGCCCACCUGCUCCCUUUCUCCUUUUACGCCGCGCGGGCCAGCUAGGCCGGUGCCUUCCCCUAGCCCAAGAUGGGCGGCUGGCCCUUUUUCCUUUUUGUUGCCCCCCCUCUUGCGGUUGUCGUGCGGGCCCCCUUGGUUAGGGGCUUCUUCCUCCCCUGGCCAAGAACAGAGGCGCACGCCGACGGGGGAAGAACAGGGCGGCCCGGCCGACGGCGGCUCUCCGGCGGCUGAGCGGGACGGGGUGGCGGCGCCCAGGCCAGGCGCACCCGCGCCCAGCCACAGCUCGCCGAGAGGCGGCCCGAGCCGGCCCCUCCACGGGCGGUCACGACUCGGCCAGCGAUCGGCCCUGGCGGCGCACGAAGGUGGCGCAAGCGCCUUCCACGACUCCUCCUUUAUCUCCAACACGCUCGCAGGACGCCCCUAGACCUGCCAAUUGAGAAGAAAUGGCCGGUUCAGAAGCUCACCUCGUGGAUUUGGUGAUGGCGGCCGGCGGAUUAAAACAGCGGCACACCGGAGCUUGACGGCGGGGAGCUGGGAAACGGAGGGGCGUGGGGCGUUGAGGAGGAGCUGGCGGACCCUUGGGCAGGUGGAAUCGCAAAGAGGAGCGACGGCGUGGGUGAAUCGGCCGGCAGUGGCAUUGCUUGACCGAGCUUUGGCUCGCAUGGCAGAAGAAAAGGCGGAGGGUUAAACGAAUAAGGGCAGGGCGGUAGUAAUGUAAACUUUUACCGUGCAUGCGUGCCACCUCGACAACCUGCACGCCUGCGUGAGCGCGGACGUGGCCGUUGUGCUGGCCGGCGAGCAGAAGUGCCGGCGGCGGCACGUCUCUGCUGCUCUGCUCGUUUCCCUCUUCCUUCUUCUUCUUUAACUCCGAAUUUUAGAUCUCAAAAUUGACCAAUUCGAAUCCAAUCUCUCGAAAAUCCCUUAAGCAAUCUUGUAGAGUAGUCUAAGAACUUCAAUUGAUAGAUUGGCCUCCAACCGAAAUAAGCACCCUAAGAUCGAGAUUUUGAAGCUCAAAGUUCCUGUCAACAUUUCCUGUUAAUUGAACCUCCACGAUUCAGUUUCGACAGUCCUCAAAUGUGGUCAUUUACCCUCCUUUGGACCCAAUUUCAGUGGCCCAAACUUAUGCCAUAUAGUCCAACAACUCACCAUUCGUGCUCUACAACUAAUAAGGAUUCCAUUUUGCACAAGAAACCAUAUAACUUUUACACUAGAUUUUUCUGAAUGUGGCUCCAAACAUUGCUAACCAAUGCUGUUUUCCAGACUUAGAAUUAUUUCAGCAAGGAGCCCGAAAUCUGCUCAUUUGCUGACUUUUGGCUCCAAUUUGAAUUCAAACCUUCCACUUUCUCUGGACAACAACAAUUCAUUUACCUUCUCCAUAGCCUAUAUUUCACUAAUGUCCAAAAACAUCUGCUCACUUACAAGGAAAUUUUUCCAGAAAUUGGCUCCAAAGUCAUGUACUCAACAUCAUUUUCAGACUUAGAAAUUUCUCGCGUCUUCUCGGCUGAAAUCAGCUCAACCUGCCAUCUUUGGACUUCAGUAUAAAUGUGAAUUCUCCACUCUCUCUGGCCCACAACAUCCUACUCGGCUUGUCUAAAGACCAUAUUUCAUUAAUGUUCAGAAACGUUUACUCCCUUACAUGAAAAUUUAUGCAGAAACCCAUUUCGAAGUUGGGUACUCGUUAUGAUUUCCAGAUUCGCACAUUUUCGGACGGAAAAUAGUAACUUUGUCGAUUUCUUCUUCGAUUAUAUUUCCGCGAGGUCUAGGACUUGAAUUAGAUCCCAAGCUUCACCCUUUUGAGUUCUAAAUACUCUCGAGUCUCCAUUUCAUAUCUUAGCCAAAUCUAUCCAAAUUUGAAACUCCAAUUUGCAAAUUUGCUCAAAUUUGACUUUGGCUCAAUUUACCUUCCCCUAAUCCAACUUUUCCAUUAACUUCUUAAUGUUAUUCUUAAGCUAUCAUUAACACGGGGUGUUACAGCAGGUGCUGGCAAUGUUGGGCGAUUCAGCAUUCUCAAUUGCUUCGAUCAUCACACAUGUAUAAAUAGAACGCGAUGUUCCGAAUGUAUGCCGUGCAUAUUGUGAGCAAAUGGACGGGCAUCCCGGUGACGGCCCUGGGCCGGGAUGACCGGAAGAGGCUGCUCGACCUGACGCGGUGCUGCGCUCGCGGUCAGGCCUCGCCAACCCCGACCAGCCGUCCGGCUCCUUCCUCUUCCUCGGCCCACGGGCGUCGUCGGCAAGACCGAGCUCGCCAAGGCCCUCGCCGAGGAGCUUUUCGGCAACGAGAAGGCGUUCCUCCGCAUCGACAUGUCCGAGUACAUCGGCGCAAGCUCCGUCACAAGCCUCAUCGGCUCACCUCCAGGGUAUAUAUGUUCACAAAUAUCUCACGACAUGCUCCAGUACUUGCACGUAAGAGCAACUCUAAAAAGUUCCCUUAUAUUACCCCAAAAUCUGAUUUAGGAGAAAAAUGAAAAAAACAAGGUCCAACACUCCCAUAUUUUCUCCGCAAGGAUACAACAUCGCGAAAAACUCCCCAAUCACCCCACGUGUAUCCACGUCGCCAUUCCUCCCCCAAUCGGCCACAGGUCUUCCUUUCCCGCCUGCAGAGCCAGUCCCGCCAAAUUUUUUCCCCGCGCGCGUGAGGCAAGCGUCGGAGGCGCGAGCAGCUUCCUUGGCGGCGCGAACGGGCCUGCGAUGCAUCGACCAUGUUCAUAUGCUCCGGUCCGGCAGGGCAGAACGGUGCGCGGCACAAGGUGCGGCAGGUCCUGUCUGUCAGCGGCCACCUACACCAAUGGCCUGUCGGGGACCAAAAUUUGCACGGGUCCAUUGGUGGCCGAACUUGGCCAGACCGGCGGCGGCAACUUGGGAAGUGAUCUGCAAGGUCGAGGACCUGCGGCGGCAUCAGCAUUUGGUCUUACCUUUUUCUGAAUCCAGGGAUACUUUGUAUAGUUUCUGAAUCAAUUCCUGAUGAAAAAUUUGCCCAACAUGAUGAUUUGUCAGUUGUCGGAGUCGUUUGCCUUUUGGGAAUCAAACAUACAUCAGCUUCCAAUCGUGGGUCUCCUGCCAUGCUCGAGAUUACUAGGGUAAGUACGUUGGUAUCGUCUAAUAGAUAGUCUCAUGCAUUGACACAUAAUCUUGAGAUGACUUAACAGGCAACCCAUACAAUGGAUUGUCUUAUAAGUUGUCUGGUAUAGCUAUAUAAUUUCUUAAUAUGUGCAUAUGAAAAAAAGGAAAUAUUAUGAGUUGCAUGGUCGGGAAAGGUCGUCUCCAUCUGCAAGUAUUUCUGCAAAUAGGUAAAUUUGCAAGUUAAAUCUAAAAUACAUUUGAUAAUAGACAUAAUGAUAUAUAUUUUACUUUAAUUAACUAACUUGUUCAAUAGAUAUUGAUGGUCAAAGUUGGAGUAAAAAGUCAAUAGUAUCAUCUAUUUAAGAACAGAGGGAGUACGUGCUGAGAUGGCGAGGCAUAUCCUGUAACUAAUUUAUACGUACUCGAGUCUGUCAAGUUGGUACUGUAGGCGCGCUAUUGUAUAGCGGAAGCAACUGAAGUUAUAUAAAUAUUAGUUAUGGAUAAUAAAGAGUGGGAACUAAUCAGGACGCCGAAGCCGCCACAGCGUAGACUUUGGCAGCCUCCUAGCUGGCGAUGCUUCUAGUUGAUCCAUCAUUGAUUAUCAUCAUUUAUGAUAAUCAGUGAUGAUUAAAUCUACCAACUUGGUGGACAAACCAGUGCCCGUGCAACCGCCGCGCCUGUGCCGCCGCAUCGCCGUCGCCCGCGUCCUGUCCGGCCGUCGUGCCGUGAGCGUGUCCUGCAGAUGCCUCGCCGGAGCCACGCAUGCCGUCUGUGUGCCGCCGCUUUGCUGCCGACCCGCUCGCCGCCUCGCAACCCGCAGCCAUGCGCGCUGCGGCUCUGGACUCCCAGACGCACGGCCGUGGCCAGACCACGCGCACGCGCCAGCCCCGCCGGAACCCAUGUGAAGCCAAAGGCUUCACCUUUAGGGAGUGUUUGGGAGAGGGGUGCUAAACUUUAGCACCCCCACUUUAAUCCAUUUUAGUCACUUAUAUUCUCAAACAGGUGAGCUAAAACUGGUGGACUAAAUUUUAACCCCCACUAAUCCCUUAGUCACUUGGGGGUAGCUAAAAUUGACUAAAUGGACUAAAAAGUGAUCCCUUAGGACCACUUUCCCCCUGCCCCCUCCCCUCUCUCUCCUCCUCUCAGUCUCUCUCUCUCUCCCCGCCUCCUUCACCCGAACCGCUCAGGGGCCGGCUCCUCACCUCCGGCGCUGGUCCCGCCGCCUCCGCCUCGCCGCCGCCGCCGCCUCCGCCUCUGGCCCGCCCCGCCGCCUCCACCUCGCCCGCCGCCGCCGCCUCACAGCCGCCGCCUCUGCCUCGCCGCCGCCGUGGCCUCCACGAGCCGGGCGCCCUCGCCGUUGAGGAGGAUGGCCCGGUUCCCAUAGCCGUCCACGCCGAGUCGCCCCGCCCACUCGAGGUACUCGGCGAGCGCCCUGGCGAGGUCCGCCUCGAGUGCGGUGUUGGGAUGUGCCACGAGCAGGAAGAGGACGGUGCUUUGAGAAGGAAGAGGAGGGGUGAAGGAGAGAGAGAAAGCAGGGAUAAAUCUGUCUUUUGUCAACACAUGUGCUAAAAUUUAGCCUCCUUCCUAAACAUCCUGAAGAGCUAAAGUUUAGCACCCCAUUUGAUAGUGCUAAAAUUUAACCCAAGGCUAAAUUUUAGCACCUUCCUCCCAAACAGGCCCUUAGCCUCAUCGUGCCGCUACCGCACGCACCCCAGCCGCGCACCGCCAUCCUUCGCCGUCAACACCGGCCUCCCGCCAUGUCGCCGCCUAAACCCAGGUCUUUUGACCGAGCCUUUCGAGCGGCCACACCGGUGGCCACACGGGCCACAGAGGGCCAAGGCUAGUAAACAGCAAAUUUGGUAGCAAACCAAAAUUAAAAUGCGACGUAACCAAAGCGCUGGCGUAACCAUGUCGACCUUAGACCUGAUUUGUUAAUACAUGCUGAGAUGGUGCUGCCAUAUCUUGUAACUAACAUAUACGUACUCCAGUCUGUCCAGUUGGUACUGCAGGCGCGCUAUUAUAUAGCGGAAGCAACCGAAGUUAUAUAAAUAUUAAUUAUGGAUAAUAAAGAGGGAGAACUAAUCAGGACGCUGAAGCCGCCACAGCGUAGACUUUGCAGCCUCCUAGGUGGCGAUGCUUCUAAUUGAUCCAUCAUGCUCCAAAAUCUUUCUGCAAGUCAGGAGCUGCAGGAUAUAAGUACAGAACUGACUGCCGAUUUCAAAAAAUUAAAAAAAAUAAAGAAAAAAGAACUGACUGCCGAUGGCCAAACAUAUAACGCCGCCAGCUUGAGCAACACCACUCAAGGUAGCUGGUCAGCUGAUGAUCUGGACCGAGUAAAAACUAUCGGAAUGCUAUUAGUAGUUCCAGUGUUCCACUGGUAGCUGGUAGGUGCGGAGCCAGCGACGAAGAGAAGAGUUGAAGCUGCAUUGGAUACAUGUGCUCCUGCCUCCUGGGGGUUAGUUGAGACAAAUAAUUUGAGUUGCAUAUUUUUUGACUACAGACUGGACACCCAAUCGAGGUCCACAAAAAUAUGGAGUAGCGUACUCUUCUGGCACUCCUAUGCGUUGAACUUCGCCUCGCCAUCUCAUCUGCCCAUCCGUGAUUUUCCAUCGACCGGCCAGGCCUUCCUUCUGUAUAAAGCGUCUCCUAAAUCACCGCAGAGUGUACACCCCCACAUAUCUGAAACCCAGUCAUCUUCCUUUUGCUCUCUGCUUUGCUACCCUGUUCCCCGACCAUGGCGGCGCUGCUGGACGAGUUCGCGUCCAAGCUUGUGGGCAUCCUGGCAGGCAUGGUGAAGGAGGAGGUGGAGAUGCUCCUCGGCGUGCCGGGUGAGGUCACCAAGCUCGAGACCACGCUCCGUGACCUGAGCGACAUCUUGGGUGAUGCGGAGAGGAAGCGCAUCCGUGACAAGGCUACGGAGGGUUGGGUGAGGGAGCUCAAGGACGUCAUGUACGACGCCGAUGACGUCCUUGACCUCUGCCAGCUCAUGGAGGGCGGAGAAGAUCCUCCCGCACCAACAUCUGCUCCGAAAACCACCUCAAGGUGCUGGGACAUGCCCAAGAUGUUCUUUUGCUUCCGCAACCCUGUUGCGGCACAUGAGAUUGGAACGAAGAUCCAAGCGAUCAACCAGCGACUGGAAGACCUGGCAAAGAGGAGCUCCCGUUUCGGAUUCAUCACCCAAGCCAUCCAUUCCUCAGCUGAUUCAAUCAACAAAGCUUCCAAUUCUUUGUCCGACGAGACUGGAUCGGUUUUUAUCCGGUCUGAUGUUGUCGGCGAGAAGGUUGAGGAUGACACGAAGAAAAUUGUUGAUCUACUCAUCAAGAAGGUGGAUGCUCCUAUAGGAUCAAGGGCCAAUAGUGAUGUGGUUGUUGCUGUUGCUAUCACAGGCACAGGUGGGAUAGGCAAAACCACUCUUGCUAAGAUGGUCUUCGGUGAUAGUAGGGUGGAGGACAACUUCGAGGAAAGGAUCUGGUUGAGCGUUAACCGUGAGUUCAAUGAGAUCAAUGUCCUACAAAGUCUUAUAGCUUCUUUUGGUGCAAAACAUGAGGGCUGUGCGGGAAACAAGGACCUACUUCAGCGUGCCAUGAAGGAUACGAUCCGGCAAAAGAAGAAGUUUUUGUUGGUGAUGGAUGAUGUGUGGAGCGAAGAUGUGUGGUAUAAGCUGCUUAGAGAGCCGCUCAAUCAUGGUGCUUCUGGCAGUCGAGUCUUGGUGACCACAAGAAAUGAUGGAGUUGCUCGUGGGAUGAAAGCUCAACAUCUCCAUCGAGUUGACAAGCUAACAACGGAAGAUGCUUGGAUUUUGCUAAAGAACCAGGUCAGUAAUAACUUUUAUUUAUUACAGUAAUUAUUUAUGCGGUAAUUUGAAUUUACAGUAACAACUUUUAUCUCUUCUUAAUUACUUUCUCUCCCUUGGAGGAAUGCACGAUAGCCCAUUGCUCGUUAUUUCUCUUGUCGCUCUUGUCCGAUCUGAUUACGCAAAGGACCAUGUAAUUUGACUACAAGCCUUUUAUCAUACUUUCAUAAGCUCUUGGCUUAGCAAAACAUGUCUCAUGGUUAUAUUUAAUUGAACAUAUCUUAUUGACGUUGAGGGAAGUUUUGUUUAGUGCAAGGAAUCGGGUAUCGUAGCCUAAGAAGGGGAGGAGGUGAAUUAGUCAACUUAAAAUCUUAACCUAUGGCUUCCACUACUUUUCCAUCAAACUUAAACUAGAUCAUGCUAUCAAGAUGUGCAACUAUGGUUGAUCUAGUGUGAAAUCCUCAUCCUAAAAUAAGUUUUGCAACCUAGAGGCAAUCCUAGCAAGAUACUACACUAAGAAAGUAAAGGUACACAAGUUGCAAGUAUGAAAUGCGGAAAUGUAAAGGAGGGGAUGAGGGGAAGCAAACUCUUGACACGAUGAUUUAUCCUGCUAUAUCGGUAGGCACUAAACCACCACUAGUCCACGUUGUUGAAGCACUCACACAAGAGUAUUGCUUUCCGAUCACCAAGUCUCUCCUGGGACACUCCUUGAUUUGCCACUAAGGCUCACGCCAAAUUCCCAGGUCACCUUGAUACCAUCUCCACUAAGGAGCUUCUCCAUGAAGGAAGGGGGUCUCCACAUUCCCCGCACAUGGUCAUCGACGCCACUCCACACCAAGCCGGAGGGUUGAAGACUUGCCGGCGAGCCACCAAGGCUCCAAGGUUCCAGCACACCUUGUACAGCUGUGGUUCACUCCUAGAACCAAUCACAUGGCAGGCACACCUUGCACUCUCUUUUCUCUAGGCCUAUCCUAGCACUAAACAUUCUUCUAAGCUUGCACUAAGCCUUUGAUUAAUCACUUAUAUACUUUUAAUGGCUUGGAUGUGUUCUUGAUGAGUCUUGGUCUCCAAUGGACUUUUACACACUCCAGCUUCAUCCAACAACUCCAAAUGGGUGAGUGGAGGGGGUAUAAAUAGCCCAAGAACUCAAAGAGCUGUUGCUCCAAUGGCUAGUUAAAAUAUACCAUCGGAUGUUCCGAUGGUAUCAUUUGGGGUAGCAUCGGAACAUCCGGUUCUAUCCGAUGCUACCAGCCGUUGCCUCCCCGCGCCCAGAUUCUGCUCAAGUUCCUCCGGUGCUCCCUCUACCACCCAUCGGAACAUCCGGUGCAGUAGCUUCCUGUGCCAAAACGUCUCUGUUAGAUUCUAAAUAAAUAUGCUUCGUCCGAUGCCCCCGCGACACAUAGCGUCGGAUCAUCCAGUGCCUCCUUCUUUCUUCUCUUUGCUCCGGCGAUUCAUACGAUGGGUACGAAACUUAGACCAUCGGAUCAUCCGAUGGUCCUGCUUGGACUUGGUCUCCACACAACGUACCAAAAGCUUCGAUGCUUGCACCGACGCUUUUCCAGCUGGCCAUCGGAACAUCCAAUGGUCUCAAAAACCUUCUUCACACUUGUCACCGACUGAUUCGGUGGGCACCUUCUUCUUGUCACCAGAUGAAUCGGUGGCUAUAAUGAUUCCUGUUUUUCUUUGAUUUCUUUGAUUCUUUGCUUAUCUUUGGUCGUGGUUGCUUCCUUACGACCUAUAAUACCUUCAAGAUAUGUUCUCAAUGCUUUGUUAGUCAUAAUGAUCGUGUUGUCACAUUAAUCACCAAAAUCACAAACAAAUGGCCUAUUCGGGGCCAUGUUUGCUACAUUUAGGCUACUCCCAAUGUGGUUUUUAUAAGAGUUUCAUUUAAUGAUGUGACACAUCAACAAUUUUGAUGAUAUGGCAUCCUAAUAAUCAUGAAGAGAGAGAGGGAAGGAGUAUCAUCCUGAUUAAACUUUGUAUACAUUGUUUCCAAGACUAUGAAACCUGAUGAAACUAGCAUUAGGGAUUAGAGAGUUUCAUUUCAUCUCAUAACAUCCAAUCACAUACCUCACAAUUAAACGUUAUGUCCAACCUAUGAAAUCGCGAAAUGAAACUCUCCAUUGGGAGAUCUUGUUUCAUACAUCCACUCAAACAUCUUUCGAUGACAUACCACUCUUGAAAAUUGUAAUAUGAAAUUCCCCACUGGGAGUAGCCAUGGUUGCUCCAGAGUCUAGACUCUAUUGAAGUCACUUCAACUUUUUCCCUACACACAACCCCUGCACAAGUUAUGAUACAACAUAAAAUCCAUUGGGAGCUUUUCGAUUCUAGCACCAUUUCCUCUCUCAAACUUGCUGCAUUUUUUUUCCAAUACUAGGUAGUUUUGAAUGAGAGUGAUGAAGCUGAUGUCGAUGAAUUGAAGAGUAUCGGGAUGGAAAUUGUUGAAAGAUGUGACUGCUUGCCAUUAGCAGUUAAGGUCCUUGGAGGACUCUUGCGCCGCAAAAGUAGAACAAGAGAUGACUGGACGGAUGUUAGUAGCCAUGGCACUUGGUCGACAACUGGAAUCCAUGAAGAUAUUAAUAAAGCGGUCUAUUUGAGUUAUGAAGACUUGCCUUCACACCUGAAGCAAUGUUUUGUGUAUUGUUCGCUAAUCCCUAAAGGUUACUUGAUUUUGAGUGCAGAAAUAGUCAAGGUUUGGAUUGCAGCAGGUCAUGUACACAACAAGAUGAGCUGUAAGGCACCAGAAGAGUUGGGGGAAGAAUACUACAAAGAAUUGGUUUCAAGAAAUCUUCUAGAACCAGACAAACGUUACUAUAGUACAAUAGCAUGCAGCAUGCACGAUGUUGUCCGUUCCUUCGCUCAGUAUAUAAUUAAAGAUGAAGGGAUACUUAUUAGUGAUGGGCAGGAUGUCAAUAGAACUCUUAGCACUGCAAAGCUUCGGCACCUAUCUAUCUCAAACAAGGCAGUAGGGCAUGACACUUUGCAAACACAAGCCUUGCUUAGAACAUUAAUGUUAUUCGGAAGCAGCACCACUGUUGAGUUGAAGGAUAUGUUGAACAACCUUUCUUGCCUAAGAGUACUACGUCUGAUAGAAGUAGAUCUAGUUGAGCUGCCAGACUCCAUAUGCCACCUCAAACAUUUAAGAUCCUUGUGUCUUUCUGGCACAAGCAUAUCCACAAUUCCUCAAGGCAUAGGAGAUCUAAAAUUUCUACAAUCUAUUGACCUUGAUGGGUGUGCAAAUAUUCAUCAACUUCCUAACAGCAUCCUAAAGCUGCGGAAGCUAAGGUCACUCAACUUGAGCGACACGGCAAUCACUUCAAUUCCUCGUGGCUUGGGAAAACUAGAAGAUUUGUUCCACAUAAGCGGGUUUCCAACACAUUAUUCAGAUGAGAGCACAGGUGGCUGGUGCAGCUUAGAAGAACUCAGACCUCUGUCGAAGCUCCAACGCCUUAAAAUAAGUUGUCUGGAGAAGGCACCUUCCGGUUCUAUGGCUGCUAAAGCAAACCUUAGCAGUAAACAUCACCUGAAAUGGUUAUAUUUGGAAUUUACCAGCAGGCUAGGAGACAACGGGGAGGUCGAAGGCAACAUUAGCGAGGAGGAACACAGGAGAACAGAGGAGGUGCUGGAUAAUUUGUGUCCUCCAACUUGCAUGGAAGAACUUGAUAUCACAGGCUACUUUGCACGUGGGCUACCGCAGUGGAUGAGAACCAUGUCAGCCUUUGGGAGCUUAAGGCGGUUGCAGCUAGAUGACUACGCAUGCUGCACGCAUCUACCUAAUGGAUUGGGGCAGCUCCCCUUUCUUGAUUAUUUUUGGGUCGAUCGUGCUCCGUCUGUCCAGUGCGUUGGGCACGAUUUCCUCUUCCCCUCCUUGGGUGGUCAAGCCGAUGGCAAAGUAACACGGAACAAUAAGAGGCAGCCUCAUCAUACUUCGCGUGGUGCUGGUGUUGCUUUUCCCAAGCUGAUAACAUUGGGUUUUGUAGGCAUGCUGGGAUGGAUAGAGUGGGAGUGGGAGCAGCACGUCCUAGCGAUGCCUGCACUAGAGGAGCUUACAAUCAGAAACUGCAAACUGCAACGCCUUCCUGCAGGGCUUGCACAACAUGCAUGCCGGUUGAGACAGUUGAGCCUGACAGAUGUCCAGCACUUGGUCUCUGUGGAUAACUUCCCUUCACUAGUCAAGCUUCGGUCAUAUGACAACCCAAGGCUGGAGAGGAUCAGCAACAACCCAAGCUUGCAAUUGAUUGACAUUAGCUAUUGCCGAGCACUAAAGGAAUUGGAUCGUUUGCCAUCCCUUCGAAGCCUCCUGUGGUGGGAUUUGCGUGCUGAAGCACUCCCAAAAUACUUGCGAGAGGCAACGCUAAAGAAAUUGCGUGUAGAUUGUAGCCGAAGUUUGCUCAAACUGAUAGCACUACAAGAUGAAUCCUCCGAAUGGGGAAAGAUCCAGCAUGUCCAGCAACUAAAGGCGUAUGGACGCAAGAUAGAAGGAGAAGCGGAGGAAGCCGACCAAUCGCACGAAGAUGAGGAUGCCGAGUGGUACAUCUACUGUACCAAGGAGCCGUAUUCAUUCGACGCAUACCUGGGCAAGUCCACGGGUGAGUUCAUCUUCGACCUACUCGGUGGUUUUAUAACUGUAUGUGUGUGUACACUCAUGUAAAAAUGGAUUUCUAACUGUAUAUUCACCUGCGCACAGGAUGAAGAUGAAGCAGAAGUAGACGAGGUGAACGAAGAACAAAGUCCAGGAAUAGAACAUAGUAAGAAUGCAAGGAACAGAGGAAGCUCUCAGGCUGUUACGACAGGACGAGCAUUCGAAUCAAUCCACCAAAUACUAGGUAUGAAUUGCCCAAAUACUGAUGGUCUUGUAGUUGUACACGCCAAAUUGGCUGUGACUAUUCUAACUGGAAAGCAUUGUCGUGUUAACGCAGGAGAAAGAAACCCAAGAAGGAGAAGAACACAUCGCAAUUGGGUGGUGGCAAUGUGGCAUACUGUCCCUCAAAUUCGUAAGUUGUAUAUGUUUUUGUGCGAAAAAUAUAAUACAGCAGUAAGGCGCGAGCGUCUCUCUAACCAGUUGUUGUGACGCUCAGGAAGGGAGCGCCAGCACGGGCGGCCUUGGACUCGUUGGAGCGAAUACGCGUCGGGGACGAGCGAUGUGCUGAGAGCUGAAGCACUGAACGUGCGCACGCAGGGCAGCAGGGAAGGGAUUUGCACAUUUAGCUCCUAGGAUUUGCACUUUCUUGUUGCCGUAUUUGUAGGCAGGUCUGCACUCCAUCCCUUCUUUUUGGUUGGUCCGUGCUAGCUCGUCAGACUUUCUACAGUGUUUUUGAAUGUUCGAUAACAAAUGAGUGUAGGAAUUUGCAGACGUGCUCUAUGAUGCCGAGAUAACAAUUGCAUCCCCCCCUCAUGGAUCCUCUGGAAAGCUGAAGCUACUCUGCAAGACUGCAACGAUUCAUUUGCACUGCCAAACAAACGAGCAUGACAAAUCGUAGGUCUCCCCUGCUAGCAUGGCAUAGGAGCUGAUGGACCACCUCUGAAGCUACUAUAUACUAUAUUCAUGUCCAUUAUGGUGUGGACAUGGACUGAUGGACCACCUCUGAAGAUAUAUUUCACGUGGAGUUUAUUAAUGAAAGUGUCUUUUUUUUUACUACGUCGAUAUCCUAGAACGUAUUUAAAUUUAUAAUAAAUGUAAUCUGAUAUAUAUGUUUCAGACUUGUUUGGUCCAUCAGUCCAUGUCCACACCAUAAUUAAGCUAGGCGUGUCACACUUGUUUAGGUGUGAGUUUAGUUUACGCCACAACUAGAACGUGCUAAAACUUUCUAAACCCUAUGCACCGUGUUUCAUAGAACCAAAGUAGGAGUACUCCGUAUAUGACUAGUUACGAAACAGGACCUUCCUACUUUGGUUGCUAUAAUUUAUAAUUAGAAGACUAUCCCUUAAUUCUAAUAACUUGCCAUCCGAAUCAUCUCGAUCAGCGUGAUGAUUAUGAUCACGAGUUUACUCCCUCCAUCCAUAUGUGUUUGAUCGGCGUAUUUGUCACACGAAAAGAUCCAAGAUUUUUCUUGCGGUCGCACGCUGACUGAGAUCAUGCGUUUGGGUGAAAAUCGUUCAAAGACUGAGGACGAUGGGCAAUGAAGCGUUGAAUGAUUUGCGUGGGAGUGUUUCUUCUUCCUUAGUCUCCGUGAAGCUAACAAAUACGCUGCUCGAAUAGGAUGGAGGGAGCAUCUGCUUGCAUUUUCGGCGGAUCAUCAUCGGCGGCUUGUUUCGGCCCUUGGGUCCUGUGCUGAUUCGGUGGACCCCACAUGCAUAGAAUCCAAGCAAAAUCUCCUCCAGAUUUCUAGCUUAUGCAAAUAUCUUCCCCGUUAUUAGCCAUUUUCAGUCAGUUAUUAUAUAUAUACGUAUAGAAAAAGAUCUACGUGGAUUAACUUGUACGGCAACAGGCUGAGAAGGAAUAUCUGUAUUGCAUGAUCAGUCAAUCAUUGGCCUAGCUAAACCGCUGAUCGAAAUGUUAUUUACUUUAUUUAUGCCGAUGAAAUUUUUUUAAUGUUAGGGUCUUUUACUAAGGAAAAAAAAUCUGGUUGAGGAAUAGAUUUUUUUUAAUGCUAGGGUCUUUCUCUUCAUCAGGUCGCUACUUCCCGGACAGGGCUAUCGAUUUGGUCGACGAGGCGUGCGCGGCCGUGAGGCUGCAAAAGAACGGCGAAAGAGGCAACAAGGAAGCAACAGCAGGAUGCCCAUGGACAACGACAACGUCGUCGCACCGGACCUCAUAGCGCAGGUGCUGGCAAUGUUGGGCGAUUCAGCAUUCUCAAUUGCUUCGAUCAUCACACAUGUAUAAAUAGAACGUGAUGUUCCGAAUGUAUGCUGUGCAUAUCGUGAGCAAAUGGACGGGUAUCCGGUGACGGCCCUGGGGCGGGAUGAUCGGAAGAGGCUGCUCGACCUAACGCGGUGCUGCGCUCGCGGUCGGGCCUCGCCAACCCCGACCAGCCGUCCGGCUCCUUCCUCUUCCUCGGCCCACGAGCGUCGGCAAGACCGAUCUCGCCAAGGCCCUCGCCGAGGAGCUCUUCAGCAACGAGAAGGCGCUCGUCCGCAUCGACAUGUCCGAGCACGUCGGCGCAAGCUCCGUCACGAGCCUCAUCGGCUCGCCUCCAGGGAAUAUAUGUUUACAAAUAUCUCAUGACAUGCUCCAGUACUUGCACGUAAGAGCAACUCUAAAAAGUUCCCUUAUAUUACCCCCAAAAUCUGAUUUAGGAGAAAAAUGAAAAAAACAAGGUCCAACACUCCCAUAUUUUCUCCGCAAAGAUACAACAACGCGAAAAACUCCCCGAUCACCUUGUGUGUAUCCGCCUCGCCAUUCCUCCCCCAAUCAGCCACAGGUCUUCCUUUCCCGCCCGCAGAGCCAGUCCCGCCAAAUUUUUUCCCCACGAACGUGAGGCAAGCGUCGGAGGCGCGAGCGGCGUUGCGGCGGCGGCGUGAGCAGGCUUUCGCGGCGGCGCGAACGGGCCUGCAAUGCAUCGACCACGUUCAUAUGCUCGGUCCGGCAGGGGCAAGAACAGUGCGGCGGCAACAAGGUGCGGCAGGUCCCGUUUGUCGGCGGCCACCUACACCAUUGGCCCGUCGAGGACCGAAAUUUGCACGGGUCCAUUGGUGGCCGAACUUGGCCAGACCGGCGGCGGCAACUUGGGAAGUGAUCUGCAAGGUCGAGGACCAACUUGGGAAGUGAUCUACAUGGUCGAGGACCGGCGGUGGCAUCAGUAUUUGGUCUUACCUUUUUCUGAAUCCAGGGAUACUUUGCAUAGUUUCUGAAUCAAUUCCUGAUGAAAAAUUUGCCCAACAUGAUGAUUUGUCAGUUGUUGGAGUCGUUUGCCUUUUGGGAAUCAAACAUACAUCAGCUUCCAAUCGUGGGUCUCCAGCCAUGCUCGAGAUUAUUAGGGUAAGUACGUUGGUAUCGUCUAAUAGGUGGUCUCAGGUAUUGACACGUAAUCUUAAGAUGACUUAACAGACACAACCCGUACAAUGGAUUGUCUUAUAAGUUAUCUGGUAGAACUAUAUAAUUUCUUAAUUUGUGCAUAUGAAAAAAGGAAAUAUUAUGAGUUGCAUGGCAACAAUAACUCGUACAAUGGUCCUCUUUCUCUCUCCUUACUCUCUCUCUCUUUCACAUCAUCAAAAAUCCUACGUGGCACUGUAUGAGACGACCUAUGAGACCGUUGACGUGUAACAAUAUACUUGCUGAUUGGACAAUUAUCUUUCUAUUGAUACAUAUUAACCCCUUAAUGGUUUGCAUCGUUUCUAAAUCCAUGCAUUCCUGUAGAAAAAUGAGCGCAACAUGGUGUGCAACUGAUUUGUCAAUUGUUGUGCUGUGAUUUUCCUGAUGGGAUUAUUGGAAUUGUUGAACCCAACGGCAGGUUUGACGGGCGGAGGCGGCAGCAAACUACUGUGCGGCACAAUGAGGGGCGAUGGGAGGAAGGACUGGCGGCAGCGUUGGAGGGUGGUAGGAGAAAAACGUUAGGAGAGAGGGAGUUCAGGUGAGGAGGAGAGAGGUUGGCCCAACUGAUGGGCCCAUUAAUACUGAUGUGGUCUAUUUCGAAAUAUUGGUAAGCUAGAGUUUCCAAAAAGUUUUUCCCCAAAACUAUGUAUUGAGGGGCUCUUUCAAAAAAAAAUUCCUCUAAAAACAUAUCAAUCCAUAUCAGAUCGCUAAUAACUAUCCAAAUAUUUCAAAAUAGGCCAACCUUCUUUGACUUUUGCUCACAUUCACCGAAUCCGGACCGACUAACCGUAAUAUACAGUUAAAUUUCAAAAAAUGUUUCAAGCCAAAAGAAAAGCCGGAUCUUUUCGUGUUCAUCUCACUCACAGGUUCUUGAUUUCCUCCCAACGUUUACUGCAGGUACUACUACAGACGCACCUACAAGGACAACAUGAACUGCCCGGCAACGAACCAGGUACAACAGAAGGACCACAGCGACCCGCCAUUGUACGCAGUCACCUACUACAACGAGCACUCGUGCAACAGCACCUUCCUCACGCUCUCCCCCUCUGAGUUCCAGCUCCAGACCUCCUCGGGAAAGGUCGUCUCCAUCUGCUUCAACUCGUCAUCCGGGCCGGCGGCGCAACAACCGCUGUCCGCGGCGGCGGCAACAGCCACCAAUGCCAGCGGCGGCUCGCCCUCCUCCAGCGCUGCGACGCGACGAGGCACGCCCUCGAGAUCAGCAACCCACCCAUGCUACGGCGCGACGAGGCACGCCCCCAAGAUCAGCAACCCACCCAUGCUACGGCGCUCGGAGACGUACCCAUGGGUCGUGGGUGCCGUGGAGCAGAAGCCGGCGUCCUGCAGCACCAAGUCCCACGUCGCGUUCCCGGCUAGUGCCAGCGCGGUGCCGGAGGAGGUGGUAGAUGCAGGCAGAUUUGGGUCCAUCAGGUACGCAUGCCAGGUGAUUGGGAAAUGAUCGGACCUCCGCAUAUUUGCGGGGCGACGGAGGUGUUUUUAGCGUCCGCGCAUUUUCAUAGAAUGGAUUAAGGAGUUGUUGGAGGUAAGUUUUGUUUGUUUUUCCCUAAAUAAGAUUUUGGGGUAAGUGAGCUUUUGGAGUUGCUCUGAGAUGGUAUGAUUUUGGGGGGAAAAUAUUUUAUAAAAAACCCUAAUAUUUGUUUUUGGGGAGAAAUUUUAGAGAUUACUCUAAUCCCUUAUAAUUAAUGAUUCCGUAACUGCGUGCAGGGCGCCUGGGUACGAGAAUGGAGGGCAGCUCACGGAGCAGGAGAUGCGGCGGCCGUACAGCGUGGUGCUGUUCGACGAGAUGGAGAGAAGGGGGACGACGCCUUGUUCAACCUGUUCCUGCAGAUCCUCGACGACGGCAGGCUCACCGACGCCAAGGGCCGCGCCGUCGACUUCACCAACACCAUCAUCAUCAUGACCUCCAACCUCGGGGCGCACCACCUCGACGGCUACCCGGACAACGACGCCGCUCGCGAGCGCAUCCUCGCCGACGUGAGGAGGCACUUCCGGCCGGAGCUCGUGAACCGGCUUGACGAGAUGGUGGUGUUCCAGCCCCUGUCGUCGUCGUCCGCCGGCGACCAGCUGCUGCGGAAGGUGGCUAGGCUGCAGCUCAAGGGCGUCGCCUUGCGCCUCGCCGGCAAGGGCAUCGACCUCGACGUCACCGACGCCGCCCUCGACGUAAUGCUGUCGGAGACACGCGGCGAGGUGAAGAUGUACGGCGCUAGGCCGAUCAGACGGUUCGUGCAGAAGGUCGUCGUGACAAGGAUUUCCAAUAUGGUGGUGCGGGAGGAGGUGCACGAGGACUGCUGCAUCUCCAUCGACGCAGACGAGGAGGUGAAGGAACUGGUGUUCACCGUCACCAAGAAGCCGGCGGACCAAAAGAAGUAGCUGAUGUGCGUAGUCGUCGAGAACCCUGUCGACGAGGUGAAGAAUCCGGUGAUCACGGCCGAGAAGACUGCAGACGAGAAAAGGGAGGAGCCGGUGUUCACUACCGAGAAGCCUGGAGAUGAGAAAAAGCAGGAUCCGGUGUUCACCGUCGAGAAGCCUGCAGACGAGAACAUGGGGCCAGUGUUGAUCGUCGAGAAGCCUGCAGAUGAGAACAGGGAGGAACCGGUAGUCAUCAUCGAUCAGAAGCCUGAAAGUGAGAACAGGAAGGUCACCUUUGAAAAGUCUGUAGACAAUGGCAAGAAGCAUCCGGUAGUCACCAUCGAGAAUUCUGCAAACGAGGACAUGGAGCCGGUGUUCUCCGUCGAGAAGCCGGCGGACGAGGAGGAGGAGCCGGUGUUCACUGCCGAGAAGCCUGCAGAAGAGGAGGAGCCGGUGUUCACCACCGAGAACCUCGCAGACCAGGAGAAGAUGGAAGCUGGGGUUUACCGUCCUGAAGCCGAACUCGGACGAAAACAAAAGCAUCGUAUGCCUUCUCUGAUGUAAACAACACAGAAUGACAGGCACAAAGAUUGACAAGAAUGGUAGAUGGUGCUUAGUUUCCCUUCUUUCUUCUUGUUUUUUUUUUUUUGAGGGCGUAGAUCGUAGUUUCCAAAGGAUACCGCUAUUAUAUACAAAUGUGUCUUUCAGCACGCACAUACAUACGUUCACAUUUUACCAAAACUUUGUCUAUUCAAAUUUCAAAAUACCCAUUAGCUUGUACUUCCUCCGUCCCAAAUUGUAAUUGUAAGUCAUUCCAAGAAUCUUGGAGAGUCAAAGCAUCUCAAGUUUGACUAAAAUUAUAGAGAAAAAUAUAAAGAUUUAUGACAUCAAAUAGAUAUACUAUGAAAAUAUAAUUGAUAAAGAAUCUAAUGAUACUUAGUUAACAUCAUAAAUGUUAUUAUAUUAUCAUAUAAAUUUGGUCAAACUUGAGAUAUUUUGUCUCUCCAAGAUUUUUGAAAUGACUUACAAUUUGGAAAACGGAGGGAGUAUCUAACAUCUCAAGGACCCAACAUUUUGGUUUAAGGCUCUGCACUGCUAUUAUAUAGCAUUGAUAUUACCAGGAUGAUCAGUGCUAGGAUCCUCCUGAAUUAUCAGACAACGAUGACUGAAAAAUGCAUGAAUGAUCGUUGGAGGCCGAGAGCUAGAAGAUCAAUUCUCCAGCACAGCGAGCCCAUCUGAAAUUCGGCCCGAUCUAUAAUGCAUCCUUUCACACCACAACAAACGGACUGCCUAUUACCCAGUUUCAGCCCACAAAUUGUAUGUCCCACAAACAAGGCCGUCUAGAAUACACGGAUACUUCCAGCAGCAGCCUUGGACAGUAUUGUAAUGAACCCGUCGAUUCAGAGCUUUUUAAGUUAAUCGUGAUUGUGAUGCGCGAGGCAGGAUAGAAUAAGGCUCUGCUGUAUGAAAGCAAGACUGUAGACAGGUCAUCCCCUCGGGCCUGAAUUUUCAUUAGUCCCCAGUUGAUCCGAUCCGAUGGCCAUCCCGUGCACGUUAUACAAUGGGCUCUCGGGCUCUAUUCUAUUGCGCUGCUGAUACAUGAGAUCUUCUGCUAUGGCCUUGUCCGUAGGCUACACAACGGCAUCACUCGAUCGAUUGAUUUGCUAACAAUUUAUAUGCGAGCUGGCUUGCUUGCAUCCUCCCUUUGAUUUGCUUUCGGGGAAAAAGCAUCAGUUACUAGCAGAACAAUAUAGAAUAAAAAACAUCAGCAUCCUGAACCAGCGAUAUGCCUGUAGUUCGCUUUUAUUUCCCAGGAGGGGCAAGGCCUGAUGGCCACUUGUUUUUAGAUGAUGCAUCUGCAGAUUUGCUCUGCUAAAGAGAUCGAUCUGGGGCUGGGUCAAAUAAUCAUGGAGUUUUGCUGAAAUUUGUGAGUUUUGCUGCUGAGAUUGCUUUUGGGAGAUUGAUAUGGCUUUUGAUUCACUUUGGGGAGAGUGAAUUUCUGUCUUGAUUGUGUCGAGCCUAGCUUUUUCGCUAGCCCAUGUCUUUGGGGAUUAAGAUCGUUUCUUUUUCUUUCUUUUUAUUUUUUCUUUUUCAGUACGAAUAAAUUUGUGCGGUGUGGUGUUGUCAAUGCACUCAUCAAGGGGGAGAUUGAGAUGCCGGUGGGCUAGCACCUUGGUGAUGAGCGAUUGACAACACGGUGUGCGUGUGACGUGUCUCUUGGCAGGUUGUGGUUGCAGGUGACAGGUGGAGACAAGGUACAUGCGGCGACGAGUGAAGAACGAAGAUAGGAUGCCGCGUCGAAAAACCGCGGGGGCGGAGAAGGGCGGAUCGAGGCUUGCGUUCGAGGGACAGGCGAUCGUGCGGUGUACGUCUACUGUACCUGGCUACACGGCGGGAGGACGUCGAUGGAGGUUUCCGGAUUAUGCCACAAAAUCCGGGGUUCGCUGGUUGAGCCACAAAGCCAUGCAUCGUACCGGGACGCUCGUGCGGCGUGCGAAGAUGGAAAUUCUGGCGAUCGCGAUACGAUUUCGGAUGGUUGUGCGGCGACAUCGCGAGGAUCACAUCGCGGAGAUGGAGGGAUCGCGGACAUCGCGGAAUUUGCCAUGGAGGACGUAAUUGGAAUUUACGCCCCUACGUUGGAUUUAUUUAGCGUAGGGGGUUAUGUGAAAAUAGGUCGUGCCACCCUUUGGAGAUAUAAAUAUGUGGCACCUAGGGUUGAGGGAAAAGUGGACGUUUUGGACUCCCGGCGAGUUACUAUUCACGCGUGAACAGUACCCGUGAACAGUACUCGUGCCCUGGGGUUCCACGGUUCAAUUUUCCUCUCUCCGGUCUAGCCUAGGGUUUGAAUUCUAGUGAGAGGUUUUUGUUGAUCUCUCCGAUUAAGAGAGGGAGGAUGUUCGGGCGGAGGCUAGAUGCACUUUUGUAAGUUCAAUUACUCGAUUUAAUCUUUCAUCUAUAAUGAUUGAUCUUGUGCAUCUCGAUUGGUUCUUUACAAUUCUCGUCAGCAUCUGACAUAGUCUGCUUGUUUUAUUUUUAUCUCAAGAUCCGUAAGUCCGAUUGACGUGAUUCCAGUUGGGUUAGUUUCGUAAUUUCAUCUAGUUUAAUCUGACAAAUUUUUAGGUCGAUCGGAGUUACGGAUUUUCGUCCACAUCAGGUUUACUAGGUACAUAGAGUUCUGUCCAGAUUUGAAAAACGUGAUUUAUUCAGGUUUUGUGUUUAGGGGAAGGGUUAGAAAUAUUUGUUAGAAAGUUUUGGCUUCUGCGACCAUUCACCCCCCCUCUGGUCGCCCGUUACGAUCCUUCAAUUGGUACCAGAGCCGGUUUAGGUUUUCUAUAGCUUAAUCGGUGCUGAAAGCUAUGGCGACCAAUGAAAAGUUUGAUGUUCGCGCUCCGUUUUUUGAUGGGACUGAUUAUGAUUACUGGAAGGCACGUAUGACCAACUAUCUCAAAGGCAAGUCGCUGAAGCUAUGGAAAAUCACACAAAAUGCCACAUAUGUGAUUCCAGCUGAGGAACCGACUGACGCCGCUGAGAUCGGGCUUCUUGAAACAAAUCAUCGUGCUGUUGCUAUUUUACAGGCUUCUAUUUGUAAAACUGAAUAUGAUCGGGUUUCUAGUGAAGAUCUCGCUUAUCAGAUCUGGGAGAAACUUAGAAAAUAUCAUGAAGGCUCAAACACUGUGAAAAACCGAAAAUUUGAGAUUCACCGAAAAGAGUUUGAUGCUUUUUGCCAAUUGCCUAGUGAGUCUAUUGAUGACAUGUUUGCACGUUUUCAAGUGAUUGUUAAUAAGAUGAAGGCCAUGAAUAGAAAUAUACCUUAUGAUGAUCAUGCUAGGGCUCUCAGAUUAUUACAUUCACUUAAUGAUGAAUGGGAUAUGAAAGUUGAGGCGAUCGUUGAAUCUGUAGGUUAUGAAACUCUCACCACUGAUGAGCUUUACAGUAAGCUCAAAUCAAAAGAGAUUGAAAUUGUUUCUAAGCGUAAAUUGAAAAAUCCCACAGCUGCUUCUUCUUCUGACGUUCCAAUGGCUUUGGUUUCUGGAAAUAAGACUAACACUAAUGCUAAUCCAAAUGUUUCCAGUUUUGCUUUGUCUUCUUUGUGUCAUGUUGCAGAUGAGGAGUUGGAGGUGCUAGAUGAUGAUCAGCUUGUACUGCUCUCCAACAAGUUUAAGCGUGUGUAUGACAACAGGCGUAAUAGAAGACGUUCAGAUGGUUGCUUCAACUGUGGUGAGCGAGGACACUUUGCUGCUGAUUGCCCAAACAAGCAGAGAUCUUUUGAGCAGGGCAAUAACUCCUCCAGGCGCCAGGAGAAGUUCAGGGAGAGGAAGAAGAAGAAGGAUAAGCAAUGGAAGAAAGGCGGACAAAAAUACUCUGACAAGCAAGUCGCUAAGGCUGCAAAUGUUUUGUUAUCUUCUCUUGGACAGUAUGUUUCAGGUGGCUCGUCAGACUCCAGCGAUUCAGAUUCCGAGGAUGAGACACCCAAGAAGAAGACAGACGGACUUUGCUUCAUCACUGACGCCGGCAUCAAUGAUGGGAUAUGUACUAUGGCCUUGGAGGGUGAUGCAUCAACCGACAGCAACGAUGAAACUUCUGAUGAUGAGGUAGAUACUUCUGCAGAACAAAGAAUAGCUAAUUUAACUAAAAUUGUUCAUAAGCAAAAUAAAGUGUUGGCUAAACUUAAAACUGAUUAUGAUAAAACUUGUGCUGAACUAGCUACUCUCAAAAAUGCUGCAUCUAAUCCUGCUGAACCUGAUGAAUGUGAAGAAUGCUCAAUUCAUAUGAUUUCGUUGUCUAAAUUGCAAACCAAGUAUUCUUCCAUUGUUGAUGAUCGAGAUAAACUUUACGCUGAACUAAAUGAACUUCGUUCUCGGUCGAAUUUGCUUGGUACUUGUGUUUCUUGCCCGCUUUUGAAAGUUGACUUGGAUAAUGCUUUAUGUCGGGUAAAAAAUUUUGAAGAACACACUUGUCCUGAUUUGCCGGAUUGUUUGAUUUGUCCAACUUUACGAUCUGAAUUAAAUGUUGCUAAAUCACAUAUUGUUGAGUUGGAAAAACACACUUGUCCGGUUCUUCCUUCAUGCCUAACUUGUCCUAAUUUUGUUGUUGAAAAUAAUGAUUUAAGGGCCAAACUUGCUGAUUUGGAAGAAGAAAAUAAGCAUUUGAGAACUAUUCUUGGUUGGUGUUCUAUUCGUGAGCCUCAAAUUGGUAUGGCUAUUGCUCAAAUUAAACGGGGUGAGCGUUUUGGUCCCGGUUAUGACUUGAAACAUGUUUUUGGUGAAAAAAGUGGACCGCCUGUUGAUGAGAAGAAUCCACCUUUGGCUAAAUAUACUGGACCACCUCCUAGGAAGGGUUCAGGUGUCACCUCUGAUGGGUUGCUGGUUGAGACAUCUAGAUCUGCUCCUAAAAAGCAGGUUUGGGCGCCUAAGCCAAAACACUUCAAGGGUAUACAAAAUACUAAGCCAAAUGGUUCUUCUUGUGAUCAUUUUGCUAAGCCUGUUUUUGUUGCUUCUAGUUCUAAUGCUGAGGCUUCUGUCGCUCCUGCACGCAAGCUUUAUCAUUGUGAUUUUUGCAGUCAUGAUGGUCAUCUUUAUGAGUUCUGUUAUCGGAGGAUGCGUGCUGAACGACGUGAGCACCCCACACGUGGUACUCAUGAUCUUCGUGUUUUUAGAUGUGAGCAGUACCCUGUACGUGGUACUCAUGAUUGUCCUAUUUUGAGACGUGAGCCAUUUGUUCGCUCUUCUGGUUUUCGCUCACGUACUCGUGCUCUUGCACAACAUCGGGAUGACAGACCACGUUUUCCCCCUCGUGGUUCUCAUCGUUUUCAUUACAUUAUCCUAACCCCAGUGUUGAGUCAUUAGCUCACCCUCGCUCUCGUUGUUGAUUGCAGGUUGGAGGCGAGGAGGACAUAUGGAUAAUGGACUCCGGUUGUUCGCGCCACAUGACCGGAGAUGAUAAAUGGUUCUCCAGCCUCACCCCCACGAGCGUAAAGGAAAACAUCACUUUUGGGGAUAAAAGUCAAGGUAAGGUAAUGGCGCAUGGCUGCAUCAAGGUAACAGAUAAAUACACGUUAAAGGAUGUCGCAUUGGUAAAGAAUUUGCAUUAUAAUUUGCUGUCUGUUUCGCAACUUCUUGAGGAUGAUUUUGAGGUUCGUUUUAAGAAAGGAAAUUCGCGUGUUCUUGAUUCUGCUGGUAACCUUGUUUGCAAGAUUUCUCCUUUUAGACGGAUUUUUAAAGCUGAUUUUUCUAAAUCUUUUGGUGAAACUCGCUGUUUAGUUGCUCAUGGUUCCCCCCUGAUUUGGAAGUGGCAUCGUCGGUUGGGCCACUUGAGCUUUGAUUUGCUUUGUCGUUUGAGUUCAUUGGAUUUAAUUGAUGGUUUACCGAAACUCAAGUUUGAAAAGGAUUUGAUUUGUGCUCCCUGCAAGCAUGGAAAAAUGGUUGCUGCUUCUCAUUCACCUGUGACUCAGGUGAUGACGAGACGACCAGGUGAACUGUUACAUAUGGACACUGUUGGUCCAGCCCGUGUUCGGUCUGCUGGUGGGAAGUGGUAUGUGCUCGUCGUUGUGGACGAUUUUUCUCGAUAUUCAUGGGUGUUCUUUUUGGAAUCUAAGGAUGAGGCUUUCUCACAUGUUCAUGAUCUUGUUCUAAAGCUGAAAAAUGAGUUGUCAAAUAAUGCCGUUAGAGCAAUUCGCAGUGACAACGGUACGGAAUUCAAGAAUUCUCGCAUGAAAGCUUUCUGUUCAGAACAAGGUUUAGAUCAUCAGUUUUCCUCACCUUACGUUCCUCCCCAGAACGGUGUUGUUGAGCGUAAAAAUCGUACGCUUGUUGAGAUGGCUAGGACAAUGCUUGAUGAACAUAAAACUCCUAGACGUUUUUGGGCUGAGGCUAUCAACACCGCUUGCUAUGUUGCUAAUCGCAUUUUUCUGAGAGCUUUUCUAGGAAAAACAUCUUAUGAGUUGAGAUUUGGUCGACCUCCCAAAGUUUUCCACCUUCGAGUUUUUGGCUGCAAGUGUUUUAUAUUGAAAAAGGGAAAUUUGGAUAAAUUUGAAUCGCGUUCUUCCGAUGGGUUAUUUUUGGGGUAUGCCUUGCAAGGGCGAGCGUACCGUGUGCUUAAUCUUGAUACUAACCGCAUCGAUGAGACAUGUGAGGUCAGCUUCGACGAGACAAUGCCUUGUUUUUCUUCUGCUUUUGAGUGUGCAGGUGAUGACGAGAUCGGGCAGGAUAUUUUUGAGGAUGAGAAAGAGGACGAUGGAUGUGACGACGACGAUGACGAUGAUGCCCAGCCUGCGAUGCAGGGGGAGCCUGGCGCCCAGCCUGAGCAGGCGCCCUCCACCACUUUGGAGGAUGGACCAUCGCCGACACGUAUAUCUACAGCAGAGUCUGCAGCUUCACCGACUGUUGAUCAUGUACCGGCUGUAGUUGAGGGGGAGGCGAUUUCAGAACGUACAGCACCACGACACAUUCAGAAUCGUCAUCCUGCCAAGAACAUAAUAGGUAAUUUGGAUGAACGCACGACAAGGAACAGAGGUACGAAAAAUAAAAAUUAUUGUGUCUUUGCGCAUACUGCCUUUGUUGCCUCUUUUGAACCCCGAGAUGUUGGACAUGCUUUAUCUGAUUCUAACUGGGUCAAUGCCAUGCAUGAGGAGUUAGAAAAUUUUGCACGGAAUCAGGUUUGGGUUUUGGUUGAUCCUCCUCCUUCUUGUAAACCAAUUGGAACUAAAUGGAUCUUUAAGAACAAACAAGGGGAAGAUGGUCAUGUUGUUAGAAAUAAAGCUAGGUUGGUUGCUCAGGGCUUUUCUCAAAAAGAGGGUAUUGAUUAUGGUGAAACUUUUGCUCCUGUUGCUCGUUUAGAAGCCAUUCGUAUUUUGCUUGCAUUUGCUGCUUCACGUGGAUAUAAGCUUUAUCAAAUGGACGUGAAAAGUGUUUUUCUGAAUGGUUUUAUAGAAGAAGAAGUUUAUGUUAAACAACCGCCUGGUUUUGAACAUCCCAAUUUUCCUGAUCGUGUUUUUAAGUUGCAAAAGGCUUUAUAUGGUUUGAAGCAAGCACCUCGUGCUUGGUAUGCUAGAUUGAAAACUUUUCUGCUUAAAAACGGGUUCAAAAUGGGUUCAGUUGAUAAAACUCUUUUUCUCCUCAGGCAAGGCAAUGACACUUUAAUAGUUCAGAUUUAUGUGGAUGAUAUCAUUUUCGGUGGUUCCUCUCAUGCUCUUGUGAAAAAGUUUGCAGAUGUGAUGAGUAAAGAAUUUGAGAUGUCUAUGAUGGGCGAGCUGCAUUUCUUUCUUGGCUUACAAAUAAAACAAACUUCGGAAGGUACAUUUGUGCAUCAGGGAAAGUACACGAAGGAUGUCCUGAAGAAGUUUGCGAUGGAUGAUGCGAAGCCAAUUUCUACACCCAUGCCGACUAGCGCUACUUUGGAUGCUGAUGAGGACGGAGAGCCCGUGGAUCAGAAGGAAUAUCGAAGCAUGAUGGGGUCGCUGCUGUACUUGACUGCUACGAGGCCAGAUAUACACUUUGCUGUGUGUAUGUGUGCUCGUUUUCAGGCGUCCCCCAGGACUUCUCACCGUCAGGUGGUGAAGCGCAUAAUGAGGUAUCUUCGAUUUACUCCUGCAUUUGGCCUUUGGUACUCUGCUGCUUCAACUCUCAGUUUGUGUGGUUAUUCGGAUGCUGAUUUUGCUGGGUGUCGUUUGGAUAGAAAGUCUACAUCGGGUACUUGCCAAUUUUUGGGUUCUUCGCUUGUUUCUUGGUCCUCUAGAAAACAAUCUAAUGUUGCUCAAUCUACUACAGAGGCUGAGUAUGUUGCUGCUGCUAGUUGUUGUUCUCAACUUUUAUGGAUGAUAGCUACCCUUCGCGAUUUUGGUUUGUCGUUUUCUCGCGUUCCUCUCUUGUGUGACAGCACUAGCGCUAUAAGUGUUGCAAAGAAUCCUGUGCUUCACUCUAAGACAAAACACAUUGAGGUUCGUCAUCAUUUUCUGAGGGAUCAUGUUGAGAAGGGUGAUAUUAAGCUUAAAUACAUUGAUACUAGUCAGCAACUUGCUGAUAUUCUGACUAAACCACUCGAUCAAACCACGUUUGCACGUUUGCGUGGUGAGUUUGGGGUGUGUUACCCAUUCUAGUAUCAUUGUAAGUUGCUUCAGUUACAUAUGCCUUAUACUUAUUUUGGCUAGUUUGCGAUCGAUGCUUUUGGAGAGGUUUGAAUGCUUUGCUUGACCAAUUUUUAUUUUGAAAACAGCACAGAUAUAUACUUAAAAAAUUAUGUUGGGCUAUGCUUGCUUUUCUGAAUCUAGUGACUUGUUGAAUACUUGACAUAUAUCUUGCUCAUGGUUCGGUAGUCAGCUUCUUUUAAUGGGUUUUCACUGCAAAUGUAACUCACAAUCCAAGUUUUAACUCGGGAGUGCAUAGUAUGGUUGUGAGCAAAAACUCUGAAUUCCCAUAUCUCUGCUAUUUAGCUCAUGAUCUGCUUGCCUUACUGAGAAUUUAAAUAUGGGCGCAACUCUGUUUUUCCCAUGUCCCUGCUGGUUCUCGCUCAUAAAAAAAAUUAAACAAAUUGGCUGGGCACAACUCUUGCUUCCCAUAUCCCUGCUUAUCAUGCUCACAAAAGUCAGACUUAAAUAUGACAAGUGAAUGCAUUUGUGGGCGUUGCAGUGAACUUUGACUGAAGCUGUGUAUCUGUCGUGUGAGCUCGCUAUAUGUUUUGUCUUCAGCUUUGCACUGAGUUUGGAAUGUGCAUGUUUUUGCCUGGCACAUUAGUUUUCAAACAGAUUUCAGUUCUAAAUUUUUAUUGGUCAUGGCAUUGUAUUGUUCCUUCUCUGGAUAGCUAGUGUUGUUGGUUAGCUUUUAUAAGUAUUUGGCAUAUGUCUCAGAAGCUUCAACUUGUGCUUUCUCACAUGCUUUUCUCUAAAUUGGUUCCUUGCAUUUUAUCUUGAUGGAGUGCUUUGUCAACAAGGGGGAGAGUGAGUAGCGCACAAAUUCAUUCUUGCAGGGGGAGUUCGUUCAUUCAGGGGGAGUUUUGCUGAAAUUUGUGAGUUUUGCUGCUGAGAUUGCUUUUGGGAGAUUGAUAUGGCUUUUGAUUCACUUUGGGGAGAGUGAAUUUCUGUCUUGAUUGUGUCGAGCCUAGCUUUUUCGCUAGCCCAUGUCUUUGGGGAUUAAGAUCGUUUCUUUUUCUUUCUUUUUAUUUUUUCUUUUUCAGUACGAAUAAAUUUGUGCGGUGUGGUGUUGUCAAUGCACUCAUCAAGGGGGAGAUUGAGAUGCCGGUGGGCUAGCACCUUGGUGAUGAGCGAUUGACAACACGGUGUGCGUGUGACGUGUCUCUUGGCAGGUUGUGGUUGCAGGUGACAGGUGGAGACAAGGUACAUGCGGCGACGAGUGAAGAACGAAGAUAGGAUGCCGCGUCGAAAAACCGCGGGGGCGGAGAAGGGCGGAUCGAGGCUUGCGUUCGAGGGACAGGCGAUCGUGCGGUGUACGUCUACUGUACCUGGCUACACGGCGGGAGGACGUCGAUGGAGGUUUCCGGAUUAUGCCACAAAAUCCGGGGUUCGCUGGUUGAGCCACAAAGCCAUGCAUCGUACCGGGACGCUCGUGCGGCGUGCGAAGAUGGAAAUUCUGGCGAUCGCGAUACGAUUUCGGAUGGUUGUGCGGCGACAUCGCGAGGAUCACAUCGCGGAGAUGGAGGGAUCGCGGACAUCGCGGAAUUUGCCAUGGAGGACGUAAUUGGAAUUUACGCCCCUACGUUGGAUUUAUUUAGCGUAGGGGGUUAUGUGAAAAUAGGUCGUGCCACCCUUUGGAGAUAUAAAUAUGUGGCACCUAGGGUUGAGGGAAAAGUGGACGUUUUGGACUCCCGGCGAGUUACUAUUCACGCGUGAACAGUACCCGUGAACAGUACUCGUGCCCUGGGGUUCCACGGUUCAAUUUUCCUCUCUCCGGUCUAGCCUAGGGUUUGAAUUCUAGUGAGAGGUUUUUGUUGAUCUCUCCGAUUAAGAGAGGGAGGAUGUUCGGGCGGAGGCUAGAUGCACUUUUGUAAGUUCAAUUACUCGAUUUAAUCUUUCAUCUAUAAUGAUUGAUCUUGUGCAUCUCGAUUGGUUCUUUACAAUUCUCGUCAGCAUCUGACAUAGUCUGCUUGUUUUAUUUUUAUCUCAAGAUCCGUAAGUCCGAUUGACGUGAUUCCAGUUGGGUUAGUUUCGUAAUUUCAUCUAGUUUAAUCUGACAAAUUUUUAGGUCGAUCGGAGUUACGGAUUUUCGUCCACAUCAGGUUUACUAGGUACAUAGAGUUCUGUCCAGAUUUGAAAAACGUGAUUUAUUCAGGUUUUGUGUUUAGGGGAAGGGUUAGAAAUAUUUGUUAGAAAGUUUUGGCUUCUGCGACCAUUCACCCCCCCUCUGGUCGCCCGUUACGAUCCUUCACAAAGGAAAAAGGAAAAGAUGUCACCCACUACAAUGAGUGCCAUCAUGGCGAUCAACUCUCGAAUCGCUAUCAGUACUGCUUUGAUUGUGCUAACUAAACCAAUUGAGGAACAAUAUCAUUAGUGGUACAGUCGGGAAAAGCGGGAUGAGAGCAUCCAUAUCGAUUGUGAGUUGGACACGGGUAAAUAAUUCAUGGACUCGCAGGUGUGCCACUAGUUAGAGGUUUGGUUGCCCCUUUUGUUUCUACAAAUGUGCGGUAAAAUUCCUUUCACUUGGUUUUCGAUCAAGCUUCCAUGUAUACUGCUCCCUCCAUCCUAAAUUAUAGAUCAUUUCAUGUUUUCUAGAUUCGUACCUUUCACUGUGCAUCCAGAUAUAAUAUAUAUCUAGGUGCAUAGCAAAAUCUAUGAAUCUACAAAAACCAAAAUGAUCUAUAAUUUAGGACGGGGAGGAAGUCCGAAAGAUUGAUGGCGUCCUUCGUAAAAAGUCCUGCCAUGUACCAUUUAUGUUCUACGAAUGGGCUAUAUGAAUCUUAUUAUUAUUAUUCCAAGAAUUUUAGCUGCAUGGUCAUUCAGAAGAUGGGCAUGAGUGCUCGUGCCUAACAAUAAAUAAACUUCGCUAAAACUCCAGAAUAUCAACUACAGUUGUAUACUUUAUAUGCAUGGUAUAAACUUACAGUAAUGAAGCAAAAAGUCCAUUUUCUGUUGAACAAACGACAAGAGGAUUGGUAAAAUGGUAAAAGUGUUGUGAAAGUGUUAAUUCUCCAGUAUGGAUGGUAAACUGGUAAAAAGUGGUAACAAGGAUGAAUCUCAGCUCACGGGGGAGUAGAUGACAUCAACAACUAACCUCCCUCGCGCUAGCUGCUGCGGCAACAAUGAAUUGCUUGCAGUCACUUGUCUGUACAGCAGGAUAGUGGCCACCAUUAUUUGUAGUCAUUCUGCCUAAGGAGACGACGCUAGCAGUGAGUGUGAGCAGGGCAGCAGCUUUAUGGCUCGUCUCGCCAUGGCCCCAAUAAUUGGUCCACUUGUAUUGAUUUCACUGCACAGGAUUCACAUGCUGGAGGCUGCGCCUUGUGCCGACACUUUUGUGUGAACUCAUAGGCCGACGACUCCAAGUCUCCGCUGCUUGCCACCCACUAAUGAAUGUCGACUUGGCGCUGGUUCCACGGAGAUGCUAAUACAUGUGAAGGAUAGGACAUAAGACCAAAGGAAAGAACAACUAACAAUAACAAGUGGGCAUGCUUACUCAGAGACUUAAAAGACUUAGCUGCACAUCAAGAACUAGUCGGCUAUACUAAUUGCAUCUGAAAAUGAUCUUAGGGUUCAUGUUUAGAUGUAUUGGCUUAACUGAUACCAAAUGUAGGAAACUACAUUACUUAGCUUAAUCUAAAUAGUAUCUUUCCUUUGGUCUCUUUAAUUUCUUUGCCUCAGGUCACUUUCUAGCUAAUGCUAAUGCACAAGUAGAUUUAUUUACUGGAAAAACGUGCUUAUGCAGAUCAAUAUUUACCUUCACCGGCUUCACCGUUUGCUGUUGGGAUCGUCUUGGAUUCCUCUGCUUCUCUGCCAUUCGGGCACCUAGGUAACAGAGGUCCUGUCUAGUUCCCCAAAAUUCCAACUUUAUCACUAUACAAAAAGAAGAUUCUCCAUCACAUCAAACUUGCGAUACAUGCAUGGAGUACUGAAUGUAGAUGAAAUUAAAAACUAAUUGCACAGUUUUGUUGUACUUUGCGAGACGAAUCUUUUGAGCCUAAUUAGUCAAUAUUUGGACAAUAAUUCAUAAAUACAAACGAAAUGCUACAGUUGCGCUAUAGUAAUUUUGGUUGUCCAAAGUUGGACAACUAAACAACACCGAGGUCUGAAACGCACUAAUCGUCCACUGUACACUGGUAGCGACCGUACACAGACUGAACCCCUGCUUCCUGUUGGAGAACCAUUGAACGCGUCGUCAGAGCUAAAUCAUUGAGCCUUGACACAUUUCUUUGCCCCAACGUCAUUUUCUGACCACUGCUAAUGGGCAGUUGGUUUCCUUUCUUAUUUUGAAAAAAUAAUAAAAAAUCGAGAUUUCCGCUACUAAUCAUUAGACAACGGCUAGUAUACAGUGGCGCAGGAUCAAGGCUUGUGGGCCCACAACCCGUGGGACCCAGCCGCUCGUGACGACAGUGCAGGGGAAAUUAUGAAUAUACAGUGAACGUAGUACUACACCUCACCUACUCCUGUCGUUUUCCAGCCGUGCCACGCGGGCCCCGCAGCGCGCUGCGCUCGUACUCGCUACGUUUUCUGGUCACGCCCCUGAAUUUCACGUAAGUGCCGGCUAAAAUACAUGUUUUAUCGUUCCUUUCUGGUAUCUGAACUGUGGCACCGUGCUGUUCUGGUAUCUGAGGCCUAGUUGGCUAAGGCCAUGUUUAGUUACUCCCAACUUCCAACUUUGACACUAUGCAAAAAGAAGAUUCCCCAUCACAUCAAACUUGCGGUACAUGCAUGGAGUACUAAAUGUAGAUGAAAUUAAAAAGUAAUUGCACAGUUUUGUUGUACUUUGCGAGACGAAUCUUUUGAGCCUAAUUAGUCAAUAUUUGGACAAUAAUUCACAAAUACAAACGAAACGCUACAGUGUGCUACAGUGCUGUAACAGUAAUUUGGCACCUCCCAAAUUGGCCAACUAAACAAGGCCUAAAUUGGAAGGUGCCAAAUUACUGUAGGAAGCCAUUGAUGAUGGUACUGANNNNNNNNNNNNNNNNNNNNNNNNNNNNNNNNNNNNNNNNNNNNNNNNNNNNNNNNNNNNNNNNNNNNNNNNNNNNNNNNNNNNNNNNNNNNNNNNNNNNNNNNNNNNNNNNNNNNNNNNNNNNNNNNNNNNNNNNNNNNNNNNNNNNNNNNNNNNNNNNNNNNNNNNNNNNNNNNNNNNNNNNNNNNNNNNNNNNNNNNNNNNNNNNNNNNNNNNNNNNNNNNNNNNNNNNNNNNNNNNNNNNNNNNNNNNNNNNNNNNNNNNNNNNNNNNNNNNNNNNNNNNNNGUCUCAUAGCUUAUUUUUCCAUGGUGACCUUUUUCCCGGAUUCAGGAAUAAGUUCCAGCUUCUGUAGUCAAGUUUGAGAGAGUACUCCUGCAGAUAACAAAGACGCAGUACACAGAUGGCCCACACCACUGACAUGGCACAAGUUCUAAGCAAGAGAAACAAAAGGAUCACAAUGGCUAGUUUAGUGAUUCUCUCCUAAAAUUGCAGCCCGGCUGGCCGAAGAUCUACAUGGUGACGUCCUCCAACCUUAGGGAAUCCUUUCGUUGGUAUUUACGAAUUAUUAUUCAAAUAUUAGCUAAUUAGGCUCAAAAGAUUCGUCUGGCAAAGUACAACAAAACUGUGCAAUUAGUUUUUAAUUUCGUCUACAUUUAGUACUCCAUGCAUGUACCGCAAGUUUGAUGUGACGGGGAAUCUUCUUUUUGCAUAGUGUCAAAGUUAGGAGUUGGGAGGUAACUAAACAUGACCUGAAUUGUGGCUCUGUGUUGUUUCAGGAAGCCAUUGAUGAUGGUACUGAUAAUGAGCAUGAUUUUGACACAAAAUCUGAGAAUGUUCUAGAUCUGCAACAACAGGAAAAGACAAUAUAUCCUCAAAGGCCUGGUGAACCAGAGUGUUCUCACUACAUGAAGCAUGGAUACUGUAAAUUUCAGAAGAGCUGCAUAUUCCAUCAUCCGACAGACCAUCUUUCAAACAAAUAGGUACACACCGUUAUGUGGUUCUUUUUUUUUCCCCCUUGGUAUCAAAUGUUCACAUAAAUAUGGUUACACCCUUGGGGGUUUGUUUUGUGUAUGAAAUUUUCAUAUAAAUACAGCCUAGCAGUUAAGGAAAAAGGUGAAAUGGAUGGAGGCAGGUGUGUGUUUGGGAAAAAAGUAUAUAUGCAUGGAUUAAAUCAAUUCUACUUUGUGGCAAGUGGUUACUAUUACCCUAAUAUUGGCAACUACCUUAAAUUAUUGCAUGAUAAUGUAGGCACAUAGCAUCUGAGUUUAUUACUCUCUUGUAGUGUCCCUUUCUGGGUCCUGCAUAUGCUAUUUACCUGGCAACUGGCAUACAAGAAUGGCACUAGGAAAUCCCUUUUGGCAUUGCUGGUUUGGACACCUUGUCUCGUCUUUUAUGCAACAUGGCCCAUAAUUAAAGUUGGUCUCCAUUUGUAUUGCGUUUGAAUCAUCAGAGGGCGGUAGCUGAUGUUUGCACAGCAAAUGACCUGUGGAAACUGCACGGCAGCCUUCAUUGUUUUGCCCCCUCAUCUGACUGGUUACCCUGGUGUUUUUGAUUGCCUUGUUUGCAGGACCGUUUCACCACUACCACUUCUGUAGCUGACUCAGGUGGGGGAUAUGACUGGCUGUGGCUGAUGAGUGGAGGAAGUUCUGAUGAUGGAACAGAAAAUGAUUGUAGGGAGCUUCAACCCUAGUCUUCUGUGAAGAGAUUGAUUAUUCUACCACGUUUGGGUCGAAUUUCUGCCCCCUAUCUGUCGUUAGAGUUCUCGUACCAGAUGUGAACUGCCUGGUGGCUCCCAACUCCCAGUCGCUCAUAUGCCAUAUAACGUUGCUGCGACCUCCCUGUGUUGUUAACUUGAGGUUGCGAACCACAUACUUAGCAUGCAGCUCUAGAUGCCUGCACUGACCGACCGAAGAUUGUGAUCAUGGCAAGAUUAAAAUAUCAGACCAUCUUUUGUAACGUGCGAUCUCCAUCGUUUUAUUUGUCGUUUGGAUCUUCAAGCUAAGUCGCGGCCUUUACUUUCUGUUGUCCCCUGAUAAGCAUGCAUGUGUUGGACUGUUGGUUAUGGUUGGGUCAGGCUGCUGGCCAAACCGAACGGUGGUCAAGCCGUUCGAUCGAUGCUGCGAGUUCAAGAGUCUUCUGCGCGUGUCCAGGCUUGGAGCUCUGGUCUUGCCUAAGGGUAUGGUAGUAUUACGCUGUGCGGAAUAAUUUGAUUUGGUCUGAUUGAUUCCCAAUUUUCAAAUGGUUGUUAGGUAUCGUCGUCGUCGUCGUGCACAGCACUCAUGAGACGCACGUUGGCGACACGCACCUGCACAUUGCCCAAGUUCCAAGGAAAGUAAAUUAAGAUGCUCGCAAUCAUGUGAGAGACGGUGCUCCUCAAAAGAUCGAUACCUAAACCAUGAACGAUCAUGCGAACCUGAAUUAUUGCGGUUGCAAGUGGCUACGGCGGAAUCAGAUCCCUCUGACUGAGAAUUCAGAUUACAAAUAAUCCUGGGACCCGGGUUGGCCGUUCGCAUUUGCAGUCACGCAUCAAGCGAUUAGGAUCACCUCUCUACAAAGCAUUCCGCAAUCAGCACGGAGUAGAAGCAUACACUUUGGAACCCCCCACCCCUCAUUUUUUCUUGUCGCUAAUAGUACCCCAUCCCCCGGUCAUGGCGGCGGUUCUGGACGCGUUCGCGUCCAAGCUGGCGAGCAUCCUAGCCGGCAUGGCGAAGGGCGAAGUGGAGAUGCUUCUUGGCGUACCCGGUGAGAUCACCAAGCUUGAGACCACGCUCGGCGACCUGAGCAGCAUUCUGGCAGAUGCUGAGAGGAGGCGCAUCCGUGACUCGACGGUGGAGCGGUGGGUGAGGGAGCUCAAGGAUGUCAUGUACGACGCCGAUGACAUCCUUGACCUCUGCCAGAUCAUGGAGGGCGGAGAAGAUCCCUCUUCUUCAGCUGCUGCUCGAAAAGCCACUUCAGGGUGCUGGAACAUCCCCGCGAUGUUCUUUUGCUUCCGCAACCCCGUGGUUGCACACGAGAUCGGGAAGAAGAUCCAAGCGCUCAACAAGCGACUGGAAGAUCUUGAGAAGAGAAGCUCCCGCUUUGGAUUCAUCAAGCAAGCAAUUAACUCCUCAGGUUAUUCCAUCAACAAUGCCAUCAAUCCUUGGUCCAAUAGUAAUACAAAGACUGGAUCGAUCAUUAUCAAGUCUGAUGUUGUCGGCGAGAAGAUCGAGGAGGAUACCAAGAAAAUCGUUGAUCUACUCAUCAGAAUGUGGACUCUCGCGUAGGAUUAAAUAGCAACAAUGUGAUUGUUGAUCUUGCANNNNNNNNNNNNNNNNNNNNNNNNNNNNNNNNNNNNNNNNNNNNNNNNNNNNNNNNNNNNNNNNNNNNNNNNNNNNNNNNNNNNNNNNNNNNNNNNNNNNUCAGGACAUGGUAUGCCAUUGUAACACAGGUAGUCUCAGGAUGAUGAUUCCUCUAACACAAUGGAUUAGUAUGGUGCGAACUUAAUUGCCAAAAAGAUAGAGAACUUCAGAUUGAUGCUAUCUUUUUUGUACUACGGGUGUCAACAUGUACACUCUACGAAGGCACAGGGUUGUCCGAAGUAGCCAGACGAAUGCAUUACUCCUCAUUGAUUAUGACCCUCCUCCAGAUGGCGCAGGUCGGCGAACCUUGGCUACACCGAGUAUAUCAUUAGCACUCUCUGGAAAGAACUAACGCCCGCCCCAGUCCGGUGACGGACUGCGCACGUGUGAUGCACGCGCCGUUGGUUUGCCGAGUGUCGAAAUGUUGCCGUGUGUCGCUGAGAGGUUUGCCGAGUGGCAAAAUUUUUACACUCGGCAUUGAGGUCAUUUGCCGAGUGCCAUAAAUCCGACACUCGGCAAACCUCUCAGCGACACACGGCAACAUUCCGACACUCGGCAAACCAACGGCGCGUGCAUCACACGUGCGCCGUCCGUCACCGGACUGGGGCGGCCGUUAGUUCUUUGCCGAGUGUUGGACUCCGACACUCGGCAAAGACAAGGUUCGCCGAGUGCCGCCUUCCGACACUCGGCAAAUAGAGAAUGUCGCCGAGUGCCUAGGCCUAGCCACUCGGCAAACACAGUACUUCGCCGAGUGUAAAAUGUUGGCACUCGGCGAACAAAAAAAAAAAAUCCUCCCCUAGCCUCCACACUUUUUCUACUCUCCACGUAGGACAUUUUGUAAGCCAUAAGAAAAGUUGGUAUAUUUUGUGGUCUGUUUGCUAUUUUUAAUGAAAUGAUUGCAUUAAUAAGAAUUUUUUUAUUCAUGUCAGAUUUUAACUGCAUGUACAUGAAAUGAUGGUUUUUAAUCAGUGGAAAAUUUAUAUCCAUAUUAUGGAGUCCGGAUUGAGUUCACAACCAGAAAAUGAAAAGAAAUUGUCAACAUUGUUUUUAAAAAAUGCCACCACGAACGUGAGGUUGAAUGGUGGUUAAAUUCCAAAAAAAGCAAACGAAAUCUGAAAAUCACAAGAUUUGUCAAGAUGUCAUGAUAUUAUGUGUGGAGGCUGUGGUAAAAAAUUGAGAAGGUUUUGCACAAUUUCUGACAUAUGAUGCUUAGAAGCCGACGCAUCUCCUUGAAGGAUUCAUAGAAGUUAGAGAGGACACAAUAAGAUUUGGAGUCCAAGUGACACUUGAGUUAACGUUUGGCUUCAAAUAUUUUUGCAUAGGCAACAUGCAACACAGAUUGGUUCGUGUCAAAAUUUGGAAAUUUUUUGGAUGCGUUUACUAUUUUUUAUUGAUUAAAUGCAAUUAUAGAAUUUUAGUAGAUAUAAAUGCAUAUUUCGCUAUAACUGCAUGAAAUAAUAGAACAUUAUCAGUAGAAAAAUAAUUUAAACAUUGUUGAGUGAUGUUGACACGAUUUUGCCCAAGUAUAUUAGGAAAAGAUCUGUAAAACAUGUUGUUUAAGGAGGCACAUGAAAUAUAAGUGUAUUUUACCGAGUGCAUAAAGAAAACACUCGGUAAAGGUAGUAUUUGCCGAGUGUUAGAUCGCAGGCACUCGGUAAAAAGGUUACAGGGCCCACUGGCAGUGUUCUCGUCCUGCUUUAAAAAAGAAAACCUUGUGUUUGCCGAGUGCCUUGAUCUGGCACUCNNNNNNNNNNNNNNNNNNNNNNNNNNNNNNNNNNNNNNNNNNNNNNNNNNNNNNNNNNNNNNNNNNNNNNNNNNNNNNNNNNNNNNNNNNNNNNNNNNNNNNNNNNNNNNNNNNNNNNNNNNNNNNNNNNNNNNNNNNNNNNNNNNNNNNNNNNNNNNNNNNNNNNNNNNNNNNNNNNNNNNNNNNNNNNNNNNNNNNNNNNNNNNNNNNNNNNNNNNNNNNNNNNNNNNNNNNNNNNNNNNNNNNNNNNNNNNNNNNNNNNNNNNNNNNNNNNNNNNNNNNNNNNNNNNNNNNNNNNNNNNNNNNNNNNNNNNNNNNNNNNNNNNNNNNNNNNNNNNNNNNNNNNNNNNNNNNNNNNNNNNNNNNNNNNNNNNNNNNNNNNNNNNNNNNNNNNNNNNNNNNNNNNNNNNNNNNNNNNNNNNNNNNNNNNNNNNNNNNNNNNNNNNNNNNNNNNNNNNNNNNNNNNNNNNNNNNNNNNNNNNNNNNNNNNNNNNNNNNNNNNNNNNNNNNNNNNNNNNNNNNNNNNNNNNNNNNNNNNNNNNNNNNNNNNNNNNNNNNNNNNNNNNNNNNNNNNNNNNNNNNNNNNNNNNNNNNNNNNNNNNNNNNNNNNNNNNNNNNNNNNNNNNNNNNNNNNNNNNNNNNNNNNNNNNNNNNNNNNNNNNNNNNNNNNNNNNNNNNNNNNNNNNNNNNNNNNNNNNNNNNNNNNNNNNNNNNNNNNNNNNNNNNNNNNNNNNNNNNNNNNNNNNNNNNNNNNNNNNNNNNNNNNNNNNNNNNNNNNNNNNNNNNNNNNNNNNNNNNNNNNNNNNNNNNNNNNNNNNNNNNNNNNNNNNNNNNNNNNNNNNNNNNNNNNNNNNNNNNNNNNNNNNNNNNNNNNNNNNNNNNNNNNNNNNNNNNNNNNNNNNNNNNNNNNNNNNNNNNNNNNNNNNNNNNNNNNNNNNNNNNNNNNNNNNNNNNNNNNNNNNNNNNNNNNNNNNNNNNNNNNNNNNNNNNNNNNNNNNNNNNNNNNNNNNNNNNNNNNNNNNNNNNNNNNNNNNNNNNNNNNNNNNNNNNNNNNNNNNNNNNNNNNNNNNNNNNNNNNNNNNNNNNNNNNNNNNNNNNNNNNNNNNNNNNNNNNNNNNNNNNNNNNNNNNNNNNNNNNNNNNNNNNNNNNNNNNNNNNNNNNNNNNNNNNNNNNNNNNNNNNNNNNNNNNNNNNNNNNNNNNNNNNNNNNNNNNNNNNNNNNNNNNNNNNNNNNNNNNNNNNNNNNNNNNNNNNNNNNNNNNNNNNNNNNNNNNNNNNNNNNNNNNNNNNNNNNNNNNNNNNNNNNNNNNNNNNNNNNNNNNNNNNNNNNNNNNNNNNNNNNNNNNNNNNNNNNNNNNNNNNNNNNNNNNNNNNNNNNNNNNNNNNNNNNNNNNNNNNNNNNNNNNNNNNNNNNNNNNNNNNNNNNNNNNNNNNNNNNNNNNNNNNNNNNNNNNNNNNNNNNNNNNNNNNNNNNNNNNNNNNNNNNNNNNNNNNNNNNNNNNNNNNNNNNNNNNNNNNNNNNNNNNNNNNNNNNNNNNNNNNNNNNNNNNNNNNNNNNNNNNNNNNNNNNNNNNNNNNNNNNNNNNNNNNNNNNNNNNNNNNNNNNNNNNNNNNNNNNNNNNNNNNNNNNNNNNNNNNNNNNNNNNNNNNNNNNNNNNNNNNNNNNNNNNNNNNNNNNNNNNNNNNNNNNNNNNNNNNNNNNNNNNNNNNNNNNNNNNNUUCUUCAUUCGACAAACAUCGACAAUUCCUUCUCCUGAUCAUCCUUUCAGACGAGAUAUUAGAAAUUUUACAAAAGAUGUCGUAGUUAACGACCCUCCACCGCAGAUGCUUACUUAGCCGCGGUUCGUGCUCAGUUAGACGCUCUGGAGGUCAACAUUCAAGAUGGUGGUUUUGUGGGAUAUGGCGAGCAACAUGCUUGGACCCAGAGAUCGUGCUUGUGGAACCUCCCCUAUUUUGAUGAUCUUCUUCUCCCACACAACAUUGAUGUUAUGCAUACUGAAAAGAACAUUGCCGAGGCAAUUUUUGGUACCAUUAUGGACAUUCCUGACAAGACAAAAGAUAACGUUAAGGCUAGAGUGGAUCAAGCAAUGUUAUGCAACAGACCAAAGUUAGACAUGGCGCCUCCCAGAGCAGGCAAGUCGUGGAGAAAGCCUAAGGCUGAUUUCGUCCUGACGAGGGCCCAAAGGAGGGAGGUAUUACAAUGGUUCGAAACGUUAAUGUUCCCUGAUGGGUAUGCAGCAAAUCUGAAGAGGGGAGUGAACUUAGCUACUAUGCGAAUCAACGGGCUCAAAAGUCAUGAUUAUCACAUAUGGAUUGAGCGUCUACUUCCGGUGAUGGUUCGAGGUUAUGUCCCUGAGCAUGUGUGGCAGGUGCUAGCGGAGUUGAGUAAUUUCUUCCGCCAGCUUUGUGCUAAGGAGUUAUCUCGGACCGUGGUUGACGAAAUGGAAAGAAUGGCGCCUAUGUUGCUCUGUAAGUUGGAGAAGAUCUUUCCUCCUGGCUUCUUCAAUCCGAUGCAGCAUAUGAUUUUACACCUCCCUUAUGAAGCACGAAUGGGGGGGCCUGUGCAGGGCCGUUGGUGCUACUCAAUUGAGAGGUGUCAAAAGGUUCUUCGAACGAAAUGUAAAAACAAAUGCAAAAUUGAAGCCUCCAUUGCAGAAGCAUACAUUCUAGAGGAGGUGUCAAACUUCACAACAAAAUACUAUGCUGACAACCUUCCUAAUGUGCACAAUCCACCGCCUCGUUACAAUGACAACGAAGUUGAAUCGAGCCUUAGUCUUUUUCGAGGACAACUUGGAAGUGCAAGUGGUGCGACACAAAAAAAAUUGACACAUAAAGAGUGGCGCACAAUCAUGUUGUAUGUAUUGACCAACCUAUCCGAGGUGGAGCCGUACAUGCUGUAAGUUUUGAACAAACUAGUUAAUUCUGAAUUUGUCAGUAUUCUUCGACAUAUUAUCAUGUUUCUCGUUGGUGUAGGGAAUUCCAUCGUAAGUUUUGGCGUCAUUCAAGGGAACCUACCCCACAAGAAGCCGAGACUCUUCUCAAAGAGGGUGCAGGAAAUGGAAUGCCCAAUUUCAUUUCCUGGUUCAAACAUAAGGUACAGUUGAUUUUAGCUCCUACUUAGCUUGAUUAGAAGUUGAUCGUAUAUGCGAAUAAUAUAACGAACCACCCUACNNNNNNNNNNNNNNNNNNNNNNNNNNNNNNNNNNNNNNNNNNNNNNNNNNNNNNNNNNNNNNNNNNNNNNNNNNNNNNNNNNNNNNNNNNNNNNNNNNNNCUACACAUCCUCGUGUGGGAUUAGGACCUAUCUUCACCUAAUAGAUAAUAUAGGAAACGCGUAGAUGCAACGUGAGUUUUUUAUAUUACUCGGUGAUAUGCUAGUGGAUGGAGGAUCGUCAGUGGAUGUACACGGGCCGAUCUAGUCAGAAUUCGUUGACCGAAGAAUGGAUAAACAAGACCGAUGCUUUCUUGGAACGGGCAUUUGCAAGGAUCAAAGGAGGAAGAGAUACUUGGUGUCCGUGUAGAAAAUGUGGAAAUCUGCGUCGGCAAACCAAGUUAGAAAUGGGUAAACAUCUUGUUAGGCACGGUUUUACCCCAGACUAUACCAUCUGGAUCUACCAUGGUGAAUUCGAUCGUGGGAGGGACGAGGUCAUCAGACAACGGAUCGAGCAAUAUGAUGAUGAUGCCGGGGUGGGAGACAUGUUAGAUGACUAUCAUGAAGCUCGUAGGGAGGAGGAACCCGAGGCUACCGCAAAGGCGUAUUACGACAUGUUGUGUGCGGCACAGCAACCCCUUCACGGGCAUACCAAGGUCUCUCAAUUGGAUGCCAUUGCACGUCUAAUGGCUGUUAAGUCCCAGUUUAGCUUGAGUCGAAACGCCUUCGAUGUUAUUUUGACAGUUUUUGGGAGUCUGCUCCCGGAGAAUCACAUCUUGCCAAAGUCUAUGUAUGAGGCACAAAAACUUCUUCGUGCACUUAAGAUGCCGUACGAGCAGAUACAUGCUUGUCCGAAGGGAUGUAUCUUAUUUAGAAAGGAAUAUGCGGAAUCAAAGUACUGUGUGAAGUGCGAAUCGUCUAGGUUCCUGGAGGUAGACUCUGGUGAAGGUCAGAAGAAGCAGCUUGCAAUCCCUGUGAAGAUCCUUCGGUACCUUCCCUUCAUACCGAGGAUCCAACGGCUAUACAUGUGUGAAGAAUCCGCGAAACAAAUGACAUGGCACAAAACCGGACGUCGAUACAAUGCUGAGAAGCUGGUACACCCAUCCGAUGGCGAAGCAUGGACAAAGUUUGAUGCGAUUUAUCAUGAGAAAGCUCGAGAGGCUCGUAAUGUAAGGGUUGCGCUCGCAACAGAUGGGUUCAAUCCUUAUGGAAUGGCUUCCGCCCCGUACACCUGUUGGCCUAUGUUCGUUAUCCCCCUCAAUCUCCCCCCUGGUGUUCUCUUUCAGCGACAGAACAUAUUUUUAUCGUUGAUAAUUCCAGAACAUCCAGGAAAUAAUAUGAGUGUGUACAUGGAGCCUUUAAUUGAUGAUUUGGUUCGUGCAUGGGAUGAAGGGGUAUGGACAUACGACCGUGCUACAAGGACAAACUUCAAGAUGCAUGUUUGGUAUCACUACUCCCUGCAUGACUUGCCAGCAUAUGGUAUUUUCUGUGGUUGGUGUGUUCACGGGAAGUUCCCAUGCCCAGUAUGCAAGGCUUCUUUGAAAUUCAUUUGGUUGACGAAGGGUGGCAAAUAUUCUUCAUUCGACAAACAUCGACAAUUCCUUCCUCCUGAUCAUCCUUUCAGACGAGAUAUUAGAAAUUUUACAAAAGAUGUCGUAGUUAACGACCCUCCACCGCAGAUGCUUACCUUAGCCGCGGUUCGUGCUCAGUUAGACGCUCUGGAGGUGAUGCACAGGCCGAGGAAACGGAGGGGGCACAGGUCCUUGCUAGAGGCAGGGGUCGGGGCAGGGGUCGAGGAAAGGGUAAAGGCGUGAGGCCCCCCUCGCCUGCGCCUUCGUCGUCGUCGGAGGACGAGGUACCUUUCGCGCACGCCUCUAGUGACGAGGCGGAGGUGGAGCAGGAGCAGGAGCAGGAGCAGGAGCAGGAGCAGGAGGCAGGGGAGGAGGCAGGGGAUUCGCAGUCCAAGAUCUGGUUGCGAGGUCCCUCGUCCCUUCCGAGGCGACCGAUCCCUCUUCAUUUACGCCCACUGAUUCAACCUACCGGGGCAAAGUAAGUAAUUUUACAUAUUCUUAGUACUUUUGAUAUGUUCAAAUUUACAAUAGAAACUAAUAAUGUAUAUUACUCACUUGUGUAGGAGUUGGAUUAAGCUCAGUGGGGGUGCCCACAAUCGCAAGGUCAACGGCAUCAUCGGUCUUUUGUGUAGGCUACACUUUCCCGGUCUGGUGGUUUUCGCCGGACAGGAGGAGCCGGCCUACACGUGGGACCACUACGUCGCCGCCGCCGACGUCGGUGAUCGUGACCACAGGCAAUUUGCGAACAAGGCGGAGCGAGUGAAGGCCGAGCUGUGGGUAAGUAUUCGAAGCACUAGAUUGCUUAAUACACAAGUUUCGCUAGACAUUCUUGAAAAAAUACUUGUUUGAAAUGUGUCUAUACGCAGGACUUUUAUAGAUGCCAAGAGGGAUUCGAGGCUAGGGCGGCCUCCGUCAUUGAACUAGCCGCAAAGAAGCUCGUUAAGGACAUGCACUACGAGGCGCGGGUUCAGGCCAUCAUCGACUUCUAUGCUGAAUACAAAAGGAUGAGGGUCAAAAAAGAAGAGGCUAGGACAAUGAACCUGACGAAGGAAGAAUUCAUGAUGGUACGUACAAAAAGUUAAUAUUAACUAUUUCUGAGAUUAAUUACGCUUCACUUCUUUUGUUAUAUGUCUGACACUUGAUGAUGUAGGUGCCUCCGUGGUGGUGCCGAUCCUUUACCCAUUGUUGGGAGCAAAUGGUGAACGUGUGGUUGCAGCCCGGGUGGUUGGAGAACCACAAUGCUUGCCGGGAGCGGCGUCUGCAGAUGCCAUAUGCACCACACCAUCAAGGCAGCCUGAGCCUUGAUGAAUACAAGGAAAAAUGGGUAUGUGAAUUCAUUUCUUUAGUAUCACACAUAAUGCACAUAAUACUGCAUAUUUUGUAAUCCUUUUGUAUUUUUGCCGCAGACGUCAUCACAUGAAGGCCAGGAGUGCUCCCGGUUCAAGGCAUGGGUUAUGUCCAAAAAGGGCAAGGCCUCGGCAGACAUCGACUUCAACCCGGAGGACCCGCCCGAGGCAUACAGCCAUCCCAGCAUCCACAGCCGUGUCACCGAGUACACAGCAAUGGCGAGGGAGGUUCAUGGGCCAGAGUUCGAUCCGAGCUCUCAGGAUAUAGAUCCUGAAAUUGUGAUGAGGGUGGGAGGAGGGAAGAAGCAUGGCAGGUACUGGAUUGGAGAUAGCGUGAUCGACACUACCAGUACUCCCACCCUCUCCCAGAUCCGAGCAAGGAGCACUGACUCGAGCCCCGCGAUACGGGCACGGCCUACCGCUGCACAGUUACAGAUGCAGGCUCUGCAGGUUAUUCCUGUUUCUUUAAUUUUUCAUUCAUUUUGUUCAUAUCUUGGCAUUGGCAAUAAGACAUUGGGAUGAAAUAUUGUAGGCCCAGGUGGAGGUAGAACGGAAGCGCCGGGAGGACCUAGAGGCGAGGAUCGAGGCAGAUCGGCAGCUAGAAAGGCAGAGGACGGAGCAGAUGUUCCAAUACAUGCAGAGUGUCUUUCACAGUUUAGGUCAGACUCCACCACCUAUGCCACCGAACCUAUUCCCGCCACCUCCACCACCUCCUGCAGCUACUCCUGUGAGUCACUCUCAACCUUACAAUCACUCUAGAAGUAAACUAGAAACUACAGGCACUACAGACUUACACUAGAAAAGUGACUAAUACAAUGUCUAUAAUUUGUGCAGAAUCAAUCGGCGGCGUCCAAUGCAGAAUCUUCUUGGGGGCAGUGGCCACCUGCACAUACUCCUCAGCCUCCUCAUCCUCCUCAUCCUCCUCAGUGACUUGUGAACUAGAUGUGUUAGCUGUGGUAAAACUUGUGAAUUACCUGUUUCGACCAUAACUUGCGAAUGUUAUUUGUGUGCUUGUGAUGCUUGUGCUGCAAUUUAUAUGCCUGUGGUGUAAUUUAUAUGCAUGUGCUUCUCUGGUUGUUUUUUUGAGAGGGGUCUUUUAUACGUAACAUUUUUGUUUUGUAGGGGGUGCUCGGGUACUUUGCCGAGUGUUAACACUCGGCAAAGACCCAAUUUUCUGUUGUAUCGACGUUUUUACCGAGUGCCAUUGCCUUGGCACUCGGCAAAGAUGCCAAAUUUUUUUUGCAGCAGGGCUCUUUGCCGAGUGCCAAGGGGGGCACUCGGCAAAACAUACAACUUCGCCGAGUGCCGUUGCCCAGGCACUCGGCAAAGGUGCCAAAAAUUUUUUGCACCAGGGCUCUUUGCCGAGUGCCAAGGGCGGGCACUCGGCAAAACAUACAACUUCGCCGAGUGCCAUUGCCUUGGCACUCGGCAAAGUUGGUAGGAUCGCCGAGUGUAAUGCGAAGAAAACACUCGGCAAAGAGGAAUACUUCGCCGAGUGCAAUGUGACAAAACACUCGGCAAAGCAGGUGGGUUCGCCGAGUGCAAUGUGAAAAAACACUCGGCAAAGAAGAUGGGUUCGCCGUGUGUCUGCCGUCUGACACUCGGCAAAGACGCCGUUACCGUCGGUGACCGUUACCAUCUUUUUGCCGAGUGUUACACUUUGCCGAGUGUAUUGUGGCACUCGGCAAAGCGUUUGCCGAGUGCCCGAUGAUUGACACUCGGCAAACGCACUGUUUGCCGUAGGAAACUUUGCCGAGUCAACUUCGCCGAGUGUUACACUCGGCAAACCUUUUGCCGAGUGUAAUUGACCCUUCGCCGAGUGCCCCAGGCACUCGGCAAAGUUACUGUUUCCGGUAGUGAAAGCUCAACAUCUUCAUCGAGUUGACAAGCUGCAAACAGAAGAUGCUUGGAUUUUACUAAAGAACCAGGUCAGUAAUAACUCACAUAUAACAUCACUUUUAGUCUUCUUCCUUUUCUUUUUCUUUUUCUCCCUUGGAGUUUCGCCAUCCUUUCUCUUUUCCGCUCUCCGCUGCAAUUUUUAUUGAAACGAGGCAGGAGAGUUGCCCAUUAUAUUAAGUAGUCCAUCAACCCGUGCUCCCGCACGGGCUAAUAUUUUUAGAAGCUAUUGUAUUUGAAAAUUAUUUAGAAAUUAAACUCCUAGCUAAUAAUCAAAAUUGAUUACCUACUACUCUCUUAUUUUUUUCAAUACGUCAACAUUAUACUUAUAUAGAUAUGUACCUAUCUUUAUCCAAUUGUGAUUGAUUUUUAAUUAAUAAUUACUCUAUGCACUUUUUCAUCCAUAUUCAUACUUUUUCCAUUUUGUAUCGCACCUCAAAUCCUCCAUACAUUAUGUUUAGCAUACAAAUCAAUAUUUUUCAUCGAUUCCUGACGUACAUGCAUAAAUGGUCUAAAUGGUGACACUUGUAUAUACUUUAACUUAGUAUUUUUAUAUUAAUAAUGACAUAAAUAGGUAAUUUAGAAUCAUAUAUUAGUUUAUUUUUGACAUUUAUGCAUGAUGCACAUGAAGAUAAUUAGAUUAAGAUUUAGAUGUUUAUUUUAGGUUAUUUUUAAUAACAACUUACGUGGGUAAUAUAGAUAAAAUUUUAGAAUGACUUUUUAAGUUAUACUUUAUAAUGAUAUGUAUUAGUAAAUUCGAUGAAGAUUAUAGGAUUACUUUAGAUUAUUUUUUAUAAUAGCUGAGCUCGGUAAUUUAGAUAUAGGUUUAGAGCUCAUUUUUUAAUAUUUUCACAAUGAUAGUGGUGGUUAACUUUUUAGAAAAUAUAAUAGAUUAAUGGCUAUGAUUAUUAGAGUUUAUAGGAUUGGUGUUUGAUAUUUUUGAUUUUUAUGAGAAUUUGUCUCUUUUUUUUCUAGCUUGUCUUAUGGGAACUAAUGCGGAGUCUCCAAUGAAAAAAAAUGGAACUACAUUGCUCAAAAAUAUUACCAUAAGCUACCUCUCGUUUGUUAAAUAUUCAAACACAAUAGAUAUAUACUUAUUAUCUUCAUCUAAUUGUCAUAGAUUUUAGUUAGUAAUUACUCUAUAAUAUUUUCAUCCACAUUUAUAAUCUUUAACUUUUCACUUUGCAUCGCAGGUAUGCGUUUGAAUUUGUUUAAUGAACCCUAAGUUUGUGAUACAAUUUUAACAUAGAAAUCUAUAUUCUCAUCACUUCCUCUAUAUCUUUAUAAAUGGUGACACAUCAUGUGUAUAGACCUUAAUUUUAUAUCAUAUACCAAUAGUGCAAGAUAUAGACGAUUUAGAAUCAUAUAUUGUUGUAUAUUUUAAUUAAGGUUAUUUGAUUCAAACGUAGGGUUAUCAUGUUACUUUUAAUGAUGGCAUGUGUGGGUAAUAUAGAUGCAAAUUUAACAGGUUACUUUAAGUUUUUAAGUAAUAGUGGUGGGCAAUUUGGUUGCAAAUUAGGGGGUUAUUUUAAAUAUUGUUUAUAAUGGCAUAAGUGAGUAAUUUUGAUGAAGAUUAGGGGGUUACUUUAGUUUAUUUUAUAUAAUGGCAGAGGUGGGUAAUUUAUAUAUAGAUUUAAGGGGUUACUUUAGGUUAUUUUCAUAAUGGUAUAGGUGGGUAAUUUUUUAGAAAACAUAAUAGAUUUAAUGGCUAUGAUGAUUUGAAUCUAUAGAUCAAUGGUCGGAUGUUUUGCUUUUUUGUGAGAAUUUCUAGAAUUUCUCUCUUUUUCCAGAGUGUCCACCUAGGAAUCCUAGGUGGCUUCACCUGAAGGCUUCAAAAGGAGCCUCCAAUUAGUAAUAGUAAGAUAAGAUUGAGAAGAGAAGACGGCCAAUGGCCGGAGAUUUACAGCGGGGUAUGUAAGUUCAAAAAGGUCACGCUCUACACAAUAAGCGUGCCAAAUUCUUAGCCCAGCUAGAACCCAUGUCUUAGCUUCGUCUCUGAUCUUUGUGGCAAUCCUAAACGGCGGUGCUUCAACUCUCUAAAAUAUGCGGGAGUUGCAUUCUAACCACACUUCCCAGCAAACUAAAAUGAUUAGAGAGUGCAGACCUUUGUGCGAGAUCCCUGUCGUUCUUGCCCUGUCCUCCCACCAUACUUGAAGUGACGCAUAAGGUUAAGGUUGAGGUUGCAGUUAUUCUUGUCACUGGCUUUGUAGAUGAGAUUAAAAUCUUCAAGCAGAAGCCAAGGAGUUCCAUUCAGGGGCUUGAUGUUUGUGAGUUCCUGGAGAAAAGCUUGUUUUUUGGUUUGUCUUGAGGGCCAUAUUUAGCCGGAAGUUAAUUGGUUGUUCGCGUAAGUUGGCUGUUGCAGUUAUGUGAAAUUCGCUAAUUGAAAUGUCGCUUAUGUCGACAUAGUUGUCAUUCCAUAGUAGUAGGAUGCCCCCUCUAGUGCCGCUCCGUCUUUCUGCAGGCUUGUAUUCAAAUUUGUUCAGAUGAUGCCUGCCCAGGUAGGCUGCCGUGAAUUGGUCGAUGUUACUUGGUCUCCUGCACGCAUGCUAUGUGGCAUAGCGUUGAUGCCAUUGUCUUGUGAGCCUUUAUCGUUCGCUCUUAACCUACCAAAACAUGCCUCAUGUGUAAUGAUCGAACAUUCUACUGACGUCGAGUGAAGUUCUAUUUGGUUGCUCUAGCGCACCCACUUUAUUUUUACCUACUAUGACAACCUCUGUUUAAGUUAUUGCUAAAUCCAAUGCAUUAUAACACAGCAUAGUUUGUAUACGCUUGAGUUUUUUUAAUUGUAGCGCCACUUUCUCUCUCACACACGCUACAAUUUUUCUAAUAGGUAGUUUUGAAUGAGAGUGAUGAAGCUGAUGUCGAUGAAUUGAGGAGUAUCGGGAUGGAAAUUGUUAAAAGAUGUGACCGCUUGCCGUUAGCAGUUAAGGUCCUUGGAGGACUCUUGCGCUGCAAAAGUAGAACAAGAGAUGCUUGGACGGAUGUUACUAGCCACAACACUUGGUCGACAACAGGAAUCGAUGAAGAUAUUAAUAAAGCGGUCUAUUUGAGUUAUGAAGACUUGCCCUCACACCUGAAGCAAUGUUUUGUGUAUUGUUCCCUAAUCCCUAAAGGUAAAUUAAUAAUGAGAGGAACAAUGGUCCGGCUUUGGAUUGCAGCAGGUCAUGUACACAACAAGGCACCAGAAAAGUUGGGGAAAGAAUACUACAAAGAAUUGGUUUCAAGAAAUCUUCUAGAACCAAACAAAAAAUACUAUGGUAGAUCAGCAUGCAGCAUGCACGAUGUUAUCCGAUCCUUCACUCAGUAUAUAAUUAAAGAUGAAGGGAUACUUGUUAGUGAUGGGCAGGAUGUCAAUAGAAGUCUUAGCACUGCAAAGCUUCGGCACCUAUCUAUCUCAAACAAGGCACUAGGGCAUGACACUUUGCAAAAACAAGCCUUGCUUAGAACAUUAAUGUUAUUCGGAAGCAGCACCAUUGUUGAGCUAAAGGAUCUGUUGAACAACUUUUCUUGCCUAAGAGUACUACAUCUAGUAGAUGUAGAUCUAGUUGAGCUGCCAGACUCCAUAUGCCACCUCAAACAUUUAAGAGACUUAAGUAUUUAUAACGCAAGCAUAUCCACAAUUCCUCAAGGCAUAGGAGAUCUAAAAUUUCUACAAUCUAUUGACCUUGAUGGGUGUGCAAAUAUUCAUCAACUUCCUAACAGCAUCCUAAAGCUGCGGAAGCUAAGGUCACUCAACUUGAGCGACACGGCAAUCACUUCAAUUCCUCGUGGCUUGGGAAAACUAGAAGAUUUGGUCCACAUAAGCGGGUUUCCAACACAUUAUUCAGAUGAGAGCACAUGUGGCUGGUGCAGCUUAGAAGAACUCAGACCUCUGUCGAAGCUCCAAAGCCUUGAAAUAAGUUGUCUGGAGAAAGCACCUUCCGGUUCUAUGGCUGCUAAAGCAAACCUUAGCAGUAAACAUCACCUGACACGGUUACAUUUGGUAUUUACCAGCAGGCUAGGAGACAACGGGAAGGUCAAAGGCAACAUUAGCGAGGAGGAACACAGGAGAACAGAGGAGGUGCUGGAUAAUCUGUGUCCUCCAACUUGCAUGGAAGAACUUGAUAUCAAAGGCUACUUUGCACGUGGGCUACCGCAGUGGAUGAGAACCAUGUCAGCCUUUGGGAGCUUAAGGCGGUUGCAGCUAGAUGACGACGCAUGCUGCACGCAUCUACCUAAUGGAUUGGGGCAGCUCCCCUUUCUUGAUUAUUUUUGGUUCAAUCGUGCUCCGUCUGUCCGGUGCGUUGGGCACGAUUUCCUCUUCCCCUCCUUGGGUGGUCAAGCUGAUGGCAAAGUAACACGGAACAAUAACAGGCAGCCUCAUCAUACUUUGCGAGGUGCUGGUGUUGCUUUUCCCAAGUUGAGAAAAGUGGGUUUUGUAGGCAUGCUGGGAUGGACGAAUUGGGAGUGGGAGCAGCACGUCCCAGCGAUGCCUGCACUAGAGGAGCUUACAAUCAUAAACUGCAAACUGCAACACCUUCCUGCAGGGCUUGCACAACAUGCAUGCCGGUUGAGAGAGUUGCGCCUGACACAUGUCCAGCACUUGGUCUCUGUUGAGAACUUCCCUUCACUAGUCAAGCUUUG
rnacentral:lncRNA from 1 species